rnacentral:lncRNA from 1 species
ACAACAAGGAUUACUUUUAUCGAUUCAACUCGAAUCAGAAUUCAACUGAUCAACAUAGAAAACUUGGUAAGAGGAUUCGUACAAGGACAAGAAGAUACCAAUAAGGAUUAGAAUUCUAUUGUUAUUAGAAGUGAACAAAGAGGAAGAUGGCUACCCUAAAAUCUUAACAGAUCAAUAUAGUUAUAGAAGAAGCAAAACAAUCACACCCAAACAUAGCCACCAUGAUAUAAGGAUAAGAAAUAGAAUCAAGCAUAGCCAUACCAAGUCUUAUAAUUUAAACAAAGAAGUUUUGCUUUACUUUGAAAACUGAGUAGAGAUGAUCAAGAUAUCAAUAAGGUCUUGGAGAUGACACAAUUGCAGUCAUUAUACUCGAGGAAUCUUUGUUGUGAGUAGAAGUUGGUGCAUAGAAAGAAGUUAACAAGCAAAUGGACAAAGUCUUUCUAGUAACCGAAAGUGGAGAUGGGAUUUCAUUGAAAUCAAAGAGCUUAUUCAAUAUGAUCAAAUUGUUUCAAGAGAAUAAAAUAACAAAGAAUGGAUAUAUCUCUCUCUAAAUGUUUAAAAGCUGUUCACUACGGCUGGAAAUCAAGUCCACUUUACUUUGAGAAAUAAAUAUCAAGAACAAAGAUUCUUUUGGGACUUGAUAGAAUUAUGUUAAUAGAAAUUAGACCAGCUAAAAGGAGCCAAACUACGUUUACAUAUAUAAGUUCUUCUAUGAUAAAGCUUUAUUUGUGGAUGACAAGACAAUAAUAUAGUUUUAGUAACUACUUUUACUAUGUCCAGCAUAAGCUAUUUCAAUUGAUGAUAGCAGAUGAAGAAACUUUAGGAUAGGACAAGAAAGAACAUCAACUUGAAUUUAGAAAUCGUUCAAUUGUACACAUUGAGAAAGAAAUAGUAAAUAGCAUCAAGAUAUAUUAUUAUCAAUUCGAACAAAUGAGAUUAACAUAGUAUUAAAUACUCAAACUCGAAAAUUCAAGAUGAGCAGAUGAAAUUCCUAGAGGAACCAAACAAUCACACCCAAACAUUGACAUAGAGAAUCAAAGCUAUAAAGAAAAUUAUGUUUUCCCUACCUUAACCUCCAAACAUCAGUGGCCAAGCAAACCAAGAGAAAUCAAGCGAAAUCCCAAAAGCACAAGCACCCACUCUAUACCAUAGCAAUCCAGCCACCUGAUAAAGAAAUUUUCAGAUUCGAAUUCAAACUCCCAUCUAUUGGGUAGUAGCUGAAACAAAACAACUCUUUGCAAAAGAAAUUAGAACUUACAGAAAUCAAGAUAUGAUUAGAUGGAGAAACCUGAGGUUCUCAGGCGAUGGAGGAACUAGCAACACACUCCUGACAGAUAUUGUUUGGGUGCAGUUUUGGGUAAGCAAAAGAAGACCAAUUUUCCAAGGAAGACGAAGAAAAGAAAGGAAAAGAGGAAGGAAGUCUGACGAGGUUGUUCUAGAGGAAUCGGUGCUGAUGAGAAUGAGAGAAGAAUGAGGCUGAGAGGUUCGAUCGGUGUUGAGAGAGUGAAUUGUGACAGGGAGAGUUUUUUUCGAUGGAGGCUGAGAAUGAGAGAGUAGCUAGUGAGAGUGAGAGUAGUGAGAUCGAGUCGAUAGGUUUUAGUGAGAGUGAAUUUCUCUUUGGCCAAUUUUUUCCAAAGAGACUAGUGCGUCCUUUUUUUUUUUCAAGAAUUGCGCCUCUUUUCCUUACAUAUAGAUGUUGCCCUAACACACUAACAUAUUUGUCUAGCUACAUGCAAAAUCAAAUGUUGCAAAUUCAAUUGUUUUAAGGGUAUUCCCUCCAAAGGUAUUUUAGAAACUAAAAAGUAACUAUAAGACAACACACAAAUGUUGUCCUAUUAACAAAAACAUUUGUCUGCAAAAUGAAAUGGUUUGGAGGGAAUCCACCUAAGUUAAAAUUUAGGCUAGGGUUUUGUUUACCUCCAAAGUCAGAAAUUACACUAUUCCAGCUGUAUCAGCCAACACAUAAAUGUUGUCUUAUUAACAAAAAAAAUUUGUCAGUAAAAUCAAAUGGUUUGGAGGGAAUCCACCUAAGUUAAAAGGCUAGGGUUUACCUCCAAAGUCAGAAAUUACUAAAUUCCAGUAUCAGCCAACACAUAAAUGUUGACUUAUUAACAUAAUUAAGUAAAAUUUUCACACAAGUUGUCAAUUCAUAAAAAUUCAAUAUCAGACAACACAUAAAUGUUGUCGGAUUAACAUAAUUAAGUAAAAUUUUCACAGAAAUUGUCAAUUCAAUAAAAUUCAAUAUCAAACAACACAUAAAUGUCGGAUUAAAAUUUUCACACAAGUAUUGGUCAAUUUGGAAAUCCCUCCAAAAGUUAAGAAAAAAUAACCUUCAUAGUUAGACAACCUAUAAGUGUUGUCCGAAUGUAACUUUCAUUUUGACAAUUGAGACUAAAACAGACCUUUUUCUUCACCAACAUAUAUGUAUUGUCUCAAAAACAUACCUUUUUUUCAAAAGAAAAUAAGUACUGUCUAAGUGCAUAUUCCACCGACACAAAGAAAAAAAUGUGUCGCCCCGAAGCCCUAAACAAUACUUAAUUUUGUUUGUGUCGCCUGAUGGGUAUUGCCUAAUGCAAGAAAUGGCAUAAUGGAUGUUCAUUUAUUGAUGUAAAGACAAGGUUGAAUUUUAUAGUAAUUAUUGUGCAUAUUGGCACAUCUGAAGAUACAUAUGUUGGCAUUGAAGUGAAAACCGUUAUUACAAGCUCAAGUUGGUUUACUGGUCUUAUAAACAACACUUUAUGUUUUAUAGGAAACCAGAUUCCCCAAAAGCAAGACCAAGACCGAUUGUUGAUGGUAAAUGUGGCACUCCUAAGAAGCAAAAACAGUGUAAUUGUAAACACUAACGCUGUUUAAAGCUGUAAGUCCAUAACUUGUUUGUACUUUGCAUUUUGCUACACUUUGGAGACCACACUGACUUUUUUUCCCUUUUGACCUAAUGGUUGAGGUUGUUCAUAAUUCUUUUUUGUUCAAACAAAAAGGUUUAUUUACAUCAGUACUGUGUAUCAAAUAACUCUAGCACACACAAAUACAAACCCUGAUAUAAAGUUGAUAUUUUUUCUAUUUGGUGACCAGGUAUUGCGAGUGUUUUGCAUAUGGAAUUUACUGUGACUGUUGCAACUGUGUAACUUGUUGCAUCAAUGUUGAAAAUGAAGGUGCUAGACGAGAUGCAGUCGAAGCUACUUUAGAGCGUAAUCCAAAUGCAUUCAAGCCAAAAAUUGCAAGCAGCCCACAUGGACCAAGGGAUAGUUGGGUAUAUAUACUUAGUGUUUGGACUUCUUUCCAUGAUCCACUUUGAAACUGGCAUUACCGGAUUAAAAGGCCACAUCAUUGGUUAUGCACCGGAUACUUGCUUCGUGUAUUCUGCAGCUCUCAGUUGUUCUGCACAAAGGAAGGUAAUUGAUGACUAUGAUUUUUUGAUUGUGUAUAUGUUAUGAAUACUUGAUGCACUGAUUGCUUGUUUGUCGAUUUUAGUUGGUCUUAAUGUUGGACCCUUUUGCCUUGGUAGCACUUUGCAUGAUGGAUAUGAACUGCCCUCUCGCCUUGUUUGGUUCCAUAGUUUUCUUUUGGUCACACGAAUUAUUGAUUCCUUAAUUUUUUGCUGCAGAGCUUUGCACUAGAUAAGCAGAGUGGCAAAAUAUGUUACAUGGGCGCAAGAGGGCUUGCAAUUGCAUGGGCAGAUACACCAGCUCAUUGGCAAUGGAUGACUCUAUCUACCACACUCCAGGUAUAUAUACUUCUUCAUGGUGUGUACUGUAUAUGUAUUAAUAUUGUAAUAGUAUCAAGUGCAAUUUGUUUGUGAAAGUAAAUUUUGUAGUAGGUUAUGUCGAUCUGUUUAAUUCGGGGCUUGUGAACCCCAAGAAGUCAUGUUGACUGCGACAAAUUAAGGUAGAAUCAUGUCAUUCUGUCUAUAUGGAAUUCUUUUAAUACUUUUAUUUUGCUUGACAAUCAAAAGAAUAGAUUGUGCAAAAAUUGAUAAGACUUCAAUAAUAGAAAUCUUAGUCAUAAGAAAUCUAGUAUCAUUUAUAAUUGACUUUUUUAUUGCUUUGAUCGAAAUUUCAGUUAUUAAUGAAAUUACAUUGCCUUAUUGGUUCUAUCUGCAGAAUAAAAGACACUAUUCCUAAGAGCUGUUGCAUAUGGGGAAUUGAGCAAGAUGAUUAAGCCUUGGGAUCCUUGGUGGUUGAAGUCUUUUGCUAGGACAAUAUCUUUCAGCAAAGAAGGAACUCAACUAAUCCAACCGCAGAAUGUCUAGUAGGUGUUAUAGCUUUGGUCAAGGAAAUAGGUGACUUUGAACUUGCAAAUAUGUAUUGUAGGUCAUUUUAGAGUAAUAACUUAUUGGUGUUUGAUACACGCAUUUUAUGCUAUAUUCUUAAUGUAUUUCCUACGCUAUUUAGCUUCGUUAAUUCCUUAAUAAUGUCAUUUCUAGCUUGUUUCUGUGUUGUAGAUCAAAAGAGGCAGCUUUACACAAAAGAAGGCUAAAACGCAAGAAUUGAGCGAAAUCCUAAUCAAAGGAGGAUGUGCAGCAAGGAGUCUCAUUAAGUCGCAGAAUCAAAGGAUAAGUCAUUUAGGAAACUUUCCAGUUUUGAAUAGGGAAAGUUGCCUAUUUCAUUUUAAGAAACUUUCUUAUUUUGAUUUAGGAAACUUACUACUUUUGAAUCUUUCCUAUUCUGACUUUCCUAAAAUAUUUAGGAAACUUUCUUUUCUAAUGAGACAGGGAAACCAUUUGAAGUCAGGAAACCUAAUCCAACUUGGAUUAGGAAGCUGUGAAUGUCUAUAAAAGGAGGAGGACGAAUUCUGCAGAAAUCAAGGGAUUUAUGUGUUAAUAUAAAUCAGAAAUUAAGAGAUUCUUUCCCUUAAUUUCGUCAUUUAAAUUCUGUCCAUCCUACCACAUUUAUCUGAUUUUAUUUCCCUUGCAGGAACCCUAAUUGUGCACCAGGAAAGGAAGGAAAUCAUGAAUUUUCGUCAGAAAACUGAUUGACAGCAGAAGAGGGAAAGUUCCUAAUCAUAGGGAUUCCUCAUGAAGCAAGGAUGCCAAAUCCUACAUGGAUUAGGCCCAAGAUGGUCGCCAUAAAUCAAGGAGAGGGACGGCAAAAUCCUAGGGUUUCCUGCCGAGUCUUUUUAGGAUUUUAAGACAAGAUUUCAUUGUCUAAAUUAAGGGAUUUAUUAUGCAAUUCAAAUCUGAAAAUCUGGAAAUUAAUUCCUUAAAUUCUUUUGUCUAAAAAUCUGAUUUUACAAGACUAACUCCUUCCCUUUUCAGGAACAAUAAAUGGCGCAGCAAAUUAAAGAGGAAGAGCUGAUUUUCGGCAAUACAAGGAAGGACACUAAAUGGUUGAUUUGUUGUAGAGAUCAAGCAACGCACCUAGUCCAUAAUUCAGCCAAAUUCAUCACCUUUGUGCGCAAGAAAUUCUAGAGAGUUCCCAACAGAUUUUAAUUAAUUUGUCAGGCAAUUCUCUUGGACCGUUGGAUCAAGGUAAAAUCAAGGAUGGAGAAUAAACCCUAGGUGCGACAUGGACACUAUAAAUAGAAGACAUAUGCUGAGUUUUGGACAUCAUCUCUUCACGCACAAAUCACACAAAAACAAUAGCAUAUUUCUUCUUGUAGCCGUGUGCAUCUAGAAGCCGAGAAGCCAACGUUGGAGAGCAGCCUUCAGACUUCCCCAAGCUGCAGCCGAGAUCUUGAAGCUGAGGAGCACUUGCGUCAUCAUCAACUGGCCCUUGAAGAUCAUCGAAAAAGUGUAACAACAUGCCUGUUCUCUUUUCUUGCGUUAACUUUAAAUUCGGAUUCAAAGUUGCAUGGUUGUAUGGUUUGAACUUGUUAUUCUUUUAAAUAAAUAAGUAUGAUGUUGAUAUGUUGGAUGAUUGUGAAUGGUUUUAUUUGUUUGUCAUGCAAAUUGUUAAGCAUAUAGUUACAUGUUAUAUACUAAACCGAUUCUGCAGGAUUGGUGAUUGCUAUGAUUUGUACUAAGCUUCUUCAAGUAAGUAUAGAUCUAAAAGUAGUGAAGGCUAUGCCUAAUGGCCGAGACUAUAUGUUAUGCAUCUGGGAGUUAAGCUUCUUCAAGUAAACUCGUGGUGCAUUUGAACUCAUAAUUCUUUAGUUCUUAAUGACUUGUAUAUUGUGUGGACGGGUGCCUUCGCAUCGAUCGCAGCCUUUAUAUGAGAUUGUCUACGUGUUAGGACUUCUCCAAUGUAGACGAUUAUUAAGUAGAAUUCGAUGGAAUGCAAUGACUCCUUCAAGCUUGUGUUUCGGGUUCAUUGACAUAUCUUGCUUGACAACAUUUUUAUUAUUCACAUGAUAAUAUAUCGAUUCAUACUUAUUGUUUGAAGGUUGUGUGUGUGUGGAAGAUGAUCACUUGUAUAUAUUAUACUUUUAUUUACUGUUUUCGUAGGAAUGUUAGAACAAACCCCAAAAUCCCCCCUGAAAUCAUGUAAAUGUAAUUGUUAUUUAUAUUCUGUAAAUAACUCUUAAAUUAGAUUCUAAUCUGUUUAGUUUUGUAAACGCAGGAGCACCCUAAAAGUCCCCGGAUUGAUCGAACCUUAUUUACCAAUACUACAAUUGUCAAAACAGGGUUCAUAAUUGUCGCACGCCCGGUAACGAGUCGCGCCAGUGUUAUAGCUUAUAUGUCUACUUAGGACAAAUAACUCUUUAUAAAUAUUGUUGGUUUUGGCAAUGAGAAUGAAUUUAGAUUUCUAAAUUAGUUUGUGCAAAUGCUUUGGUGACCUCCAAAUCAAAAUCAGACAACAGAUAUUCCAUGAAUUUUGACGUCUUACAUCUUUCAAACGACUUUGUUAUGUCGUCUUAAAGUAAAAGAAGAUAAUAGUGUAUGUCGUCUGAGUUUUGAGGUUUUAAACUAUUGUAACGACAGAAAAGCAUAGUAGUACUUGAAUACAAAUGACGGAUAAAUUAAGAGGAUAGAUAAAAAAGCCAUUCCGACGUCAUAUAAGUGACGUUAGAAUAAAUUUGAGACGAUAGACGAAUGAAAUUAUUUGUUGAUUAAUUCUUCUUUCAACGACAGAGAACUGUCGUUGUAACGUUUUCUAACGACAGAUUCAUUUUUUGUGUUACGAACAUGGAUUCAUACAGUAUGUCAUAUAACCUUUCUCAGACGACAGAUUAUGCAUGUCGACUAAAUGCUUAUCAGAUGACAGCUCGAUAGACGACACGCAAAAAAGUAAUUAGACGAUGGGCAAUAUCAUACAACCUUUCUCAGACGACAGAUUAUGCCUGUCGACUAAAUGCUUAUCAGAUGACAGCUCGAUAGACGACACCCAAAAAAGUAAUCAUUGCCCGUCGUCUGAAAGCAAAAUUGGCGUAGUGCUUCAUGACGUGAUAAUUAAUAAAAUAAAUUUUCUCCAAAAGCAUAUUUUCUUGGAAACACUUAUCAUUUGUGGAUCAAAUGCUAUAACAGUAUGUAUACAUCUUUAUUGUCAAGUCAAUAAUAGGCACCUAAAAACCACUAAUAAACAACAACACUUAUCAUUUGUGGAUCAAAUGCUACCAAAGUGCAUAACAAUAUGUAUACCUGGAUCCAUCAAUAUCCAGACUCUUUGAGUCAUUCACCAUUUUCAAAACCGGACCCAUCAACAUCUAGACUCAAUUGCGGUUCCAUAGCUUAUUGAUGUGGAAAAGUGGGGGAUCGGAGACGGUGUGGUGGAGAGCAAAGAUCUGAGGAUGCUGUCGUCGUAAAUGGAAGAUGUGCCGGAGCCGGACUUGGUGGCCAGAGAAUCAGCGAGAUCAUAGAUGGUGCGGUGGAGCGCGGAGAUUGGAGGAUGCGAGGAGGCAACCUCAUCGCAGGUGGGGGUGAUAGACCUCGUCGACGCCGUCGACAAUAAGAGAGAGAGAGAGAGAGAUAGAGAGAGAGGAUGAAAGAAUUCAGAGAGAGAGAGAUGAGUGACUGAGAAGAGGGCAGGGCAGUUUCGUCCAUAAAAAUAAUAUAAAAAAAAAAAACUGAAAAUUUUGUUAGAUGGAACAAACCUUAUGAGUGUAUAGGGUUAGUGGAAAUUUCAGCGUCCGAGGUGCAUGCGUCCUGAAUAAGAUUAAUUUCAGCUUUAAGCUAGCUUGAUCGAUGUAAGAGGAAAAAGAUAAAAUGACACAAGGAUACAGCUAGACUAGUGACUAUCAUUUCACCAAACUGGUUUAGUCAGUCUCACCAAAUCUGGCAAAAAACAAGUGAAGUCAAGGUUUGUUCUAUCUGCCAGCUUUUUAGCUACAUAUAUCUCAUUUCACGAGCACUCUUUCUUUCUAGGUAGCUCGAUCCUUUUUGUUUCGAGCAACAUUCCCGAGUAGUCCCAACUAUAAUUGUUUGAUGAAGAAAUGACCAUCUAUCAUGUAUGGUCGAUCUUCAAUCGAUGAAAAAUUUGCAAUUAUUCAUAUAUGUAUUUUAUAGGAAUACACGUUCUUUCUCUUGGUUGUCCAACGAUUAUUAUUGAGUACUCAUGUAAAAGUGGCAUUGCUUUAGAUGGUGGCCAACCCCUAACGAAACUCGCUUGAUCGAAUAUUAGAUAUGGCGCCGAGAAUUGCAUGAGAGAUUUUCUCGUUCAAACAUCUUUCUUGUUGAAUUAGUAAAUGCUGCGUGAAUUAUCUGCUUAUAUAUAAGUGACCCUGGUUGAUGUUGAGAAGGGGCGAGCUCAACUAGCUGCAGAGUCUGUUAUAUGCAUGGCUUCUCUUCUACUGUUACUGGGAGCAAUUAUGCAAUCCCAGUCUAAUGAUGUUCCACUUAUCGAUGGGGGAACGAAGGAUUCCAACUACAGCAAUGCUGAUGCUCUUUGGUAUGAGCGAAAACAUGGGACUGUCUUCUCCGGUGCGUCUCCUCGUGAUUACCUGUGGAGUUUUCCGAGCCACAGUGAUAUUGGUCAUGAGACCCAGGCCUGGAAGGUAGCCGUCUACGGCAUUUGGCCAUGACUAGCUACAAAACCAGCAGCCGCUACUUUGUUCUCCUGUAAGUCAUGCAUGCCCGUCUAUACACGAAUCAGAUUUCAACUGUAGCUCCUGCUUCUUGCCGUUCGAUCUGUUCGUGUAACAGAACUAUAGUGUAAAUUAAAAUGUUAAAUUAUGCAUGUAUCAACUUUUCUCUUGGUUUGCUGGGGUAACCAACUAAUUAAGUGGACCUUGAUGUAUUGCCCAGCCAACGAUUUGAUGACCUUGUGAUGGGGCCUCAGAGCAUUUUCACAGAUCGAGAAGUAGACAAUAUAUUGUCGUGUCCCUUGUAGAAUAGAUCUGCUUAAUAGUAGUUUGGAGCAACCAAAACUCAUCCGAGCUCGAUAAGAUCCCUUCGGGUCUCCAUGCCCAUAAUUUAGAGCCUCUAAUUAUUAAUUAAUUGACUUUGGGACUCAAUUCAAGCAUGUCCCUGUGAUGCUUCAACGAGAUUGAGAGUUUUCCGGCCAGGAAAACUGUUUCUCACUGUUUCACCGGAUUCAAUGUUUAGGGCUAGGGUUUGGCAUAUGCAUAAAACACUUAUCAUAAACACAUGUACAUAAACAAGAUCACAGAUUAUGACAUCAAACAUACAUCAACAUAUAUAUAUAUAUAUAUGUAUGUAUAUGUACUGAUAUAUAUACUCAAAGAACAAAAGUAGUACAUUGCUCAAUGUUGAGGAUAGCCAUCGGGAUGAAGAAGCUUCCAAAAGGGAUCUUCUGUACAACACUCAAGUACCAAAGCUUUGAUGGAGAGAGACUAGUUUUUGGCGUAAGUUAGAGUGUGCACAGAGACCUAUUUUUAUAUUGCAUUUUGGAUAGCUCAAACUCUUAACCAUGAAAGAGUUUGAGUUCCACACAAAUACCACAAUAUUAGCCUAUCUCUAUAUUAUCUUGUUAUACAAGAUAAUUCAAAUGCAUUUAAUUGUUUAUCUAAACAUUUUAUUUAGAUAAACUAGAUAAACAUAUCAUGAUAAUGUAAUUAAUAAUAUCACAAAGUUUAUUUUGUUAUUUUAUAGAAGUUGUCGUGCCUUAAGACUUAUAAUGCUAAGUCCAUUUUGACUAUAUAUAGGCUAGCUGAUAGCCUCAAAUAAACAUCAACACCGUCACAAGAGCUUAAUUAGUUAAAAAUCUCCCAUAUAUGAAUAUAUGAUAUAUGGAGCGAGUUGCGCAAAUCUAAUGCUUCCCUUUUCGAUGCUAGCUAGUGAUCGAGAUUAGAUGUCAUGUAGCAUGCCUAUGAUCAUGAUGACAAACAUUGAAUGAUUAAUUCAACCUCGCUUCCACCGUGCGUGCAUGUAUGCGAAUGUAUUGCACGCGCAUCCUUAAUUUGAUGCAAUAGUCGAUUGCAAGCCGAUCGAAGAAUCCCUUGAUUCUGCUAAUUUAUGCUUCAUGCAAGUCAACUGGAUUGAGAUACCAUGUUAGUGAUGUUACAUGCAUAUAUAUUAUCGGAUAAACUAUUUUGUCAUUAAUUUUAUUCCAAGUUCCACAAGGAAAACCAUCAAUUUUGUCCCAAUUUAUGACAUUAACUAUGGUAAAAUACCAAGAAUAAACCAGAGUAGUCUAACCCUGUGAAGAUAAAGGAGAAUUGCACGUACUUGAAAAGAUUGAAAUGAAACCAGCUGGCAUGGAAUUAGAUCUUCUUCUCCCAGCUAUACUGCUUCCUUUUGGGAGUUAUUAUGGUCGGUCGAUCUUCUUAUCCCAGAUUCCGGAGUCCCCAGCUGACAGACAGCUGAAUCAGUAGUGGACAAAUGCCUCUUCUCUAGCUAGUUGACCCUAAUCUGUGUUUCACAUAUAUUUAUUUAUCAUAUAUCAAGGCCAAAAUGAAGUUGUACACAUGCAUAGGGUCUCUCUGUUAGUGCUUUGCCUUAUCACCGUCGGCAGCCCCACCCGGCCACUUGAUUGUUUCUAGAAGUACGUUGCAAAAACAACGUUUAAACUUUAGUUUUAGGGCAAAAGCUGGCCUACGCGGGGAGUAUCGUACAGCGAAACGGUGUUAAAACGGAAGGGCUUUUAUGUAAUUUUCAUAGAGUUGAUAAAAUCAGUUUUUACUAGCACCGAAAAGAAAAAGAAGCCUGUAUCAUCUACAACCGGCUUAGUGGUGAAGCUCGACGGCGACGUCCUCGGCUUAGUGGUCUCGGGUCGACCCGACAGGCAAACGCUGUCGUUUCAGCCGGAUAUGGGAAUUCGUUCUCUCCUCGACGUUGCCGGAGCUAAUAGCUUGCGAGAUCUGGCAUCGCAAUCAUUGUUUUGGAUACUGGAAUUUGAAAUUUGAUUGUGAUUACGUAAGACUUGUUUGGACCCAACUUGAAUGGUGAUUGUGUAGUGAGGUCUGGUUUGCAUAUAUGUUAAUUGAAGCUGGGGUUUGGUCGAGGACAAGAUAUAUCAUAUAUGUUAUUGGUGGAGGACCUGCAAUUGGCACUUCUUCUUUGUUAUUAUCAUGACAUAAACCAUAUUGAACCUCACCAUGCUCUGCCAGCAUAAUCUGAACUUCGAAAGAACGGAGAAGUUCUCUAAACCCAAUAGCCAUCACUGCCCAAGCUAGACCAGUAGGCGUCGGAAGGCGUGGGUCUGACGGCAUCUCGAUCGCUGAUCGGAAUCCACAUCAACUGAGUUCCUCCGCCGUGUGUCGACCCCAUCAUCUUCUUCCUCGACGAGCUGAUCUCCGACCUUUUCUCCACCUCCACCGUUCUAAUCACCUCCGAUCUUUCUUAUUUUGAGAAGAAAUCACCUCAUGUCUUGAUGUGGAGAGAGUCAAAGUCGUGUGGGUUAAUUUGACGUUUAACGUCUUUAGAAUUUAACUCUGACGAGUGAUUUUACUGUUAACGGGAGUUUUAUUUGAAUUUACUUCCGUACCUUUUAGAUUCAAAUUCUGUGGCACACAUAGUGCCAUGUGAUAGAACCGACUCUGCGCUACUGUGGCGUAGUCCGGCGUUUUUUUAGUUUUAGUUCAUAAUAUUUUAAUGAUCCAAAAAAAAAAACAUAAUAUUUCUUUUACCAGAAGACUUCUGAGGGGAUCGGAAUCGCAUGCAAUGAGGCAUCUAGCUUGGAGGACUUGAUUUGUUUAGAGGGCAAGAACUGACGUCCCAAUUUGGAGCUAGAAAAAAGGUUUCGUCAAGAACAACGUACACCUGCUAGCUAGAAACUUGAUUCUCCAAAGAAUUUAAACUAAUUUACCAUUAACAGCCAUUGAGUAAUUUUAGACUUUGCCUUCAAUUGAAUUUGGGUAAACCUUUGGCUUUCGCUUACAGAUCGAGAAAGCUAGUAGCUAGAGUUGUAUAUCAAGGUUACGUGCUCUUGAUCGAGUUUAUGAUCAGCCAGUAUAUAUUGAUCGAGUAACAUCAAGAUCGAUACUGAGCUAAAACAGUAUUCAAUUCUUCAAGUCUUUAAUAUUAAUUCAAAAGAUGAAUGUUUAAUCACCAAAUUAAGACUCUUUUUGAGAGAGUCUUGAUUAAGACCGAGUUCGGUUGUUCUGCAUAUUCCUCAUCAUUUUAGUUGACCCGAAUAUAUAUGAGUUUAAUUAACAGAUCGAGAGAUGCAUAUAAUUAAGCAAAGUCUGAGUUUAAAACUGGCCUCGAUCGCUCUCUGGGUUCCAAACUUUCAAUGGUUGCGGCCGAUAGUGCUUCAUAUAUGUAAGGAAGCCGUUGAACACGUUACGAACUCUGAUCAGUCAACCGGGUCAAUCUCCUAAUUCAAUCACAAAUAGACAUAUAUAUUUUAUACAGCGUAACCACGUUUCAUUACCAUUCUGUAUCUAAUAUCUAUAUUUGUAUGUCAACCUCACAAACAAAGCAGCAGCCUACGUACACGACUCCGCCUUUUCUUCUCUCUUUUUUUUUUUUUUUUGAGGAAGACGACUUAAGUAAACGUACACAGGGUUUUUUUUUUUGUUUCCGAUGAGCUCUUACAAGUAUACUAAAUAGAUGUGAUUGUUCGAAUUUGAAGAAGACGUACGUGGUCCGAUCCAACAUGCAUAAUGCAUUAGUAAACUAGUUUAUUAUCAAGAACAUAUAUAGCCGAAUACUUGCUUUAACUACGUAGUCUUAAACCCUUUACAUAUGUCAUAUAUUGUUCCUUCAAUUAAGGUAAUAUACCAUGCAGAUUAUGACACGACCCACCCCGAAUUUCACCCUGAAACCCAGAGUAAGUCGUGCGGGGACCACCUCCAAGGAAAAUUUACUGAAAAGAUUAAGAAAAUCUCCCUUGCAGAUGGACAACCCUAACUCGAAAAUUUCAUAUUACACUCUUAAUUCAACACUUCUGAACAUCACAUAAUAUACAAAAAUUUUAAAGUAUUCAGAGCUACUAAACACAAACGGAAGCAAAAAAACACGAGUAGGUUGAACAGGUAACCUACUGGCGAAAACUGGCAGAAAUGCGGGUGACUAUGCCUCGUCUCCUACUAGAUCCCACCCGAACUCUGCAGACUGGGCAAUUUAAAACGAAUGGCCCAGGGGAAAACAUUUAAUAACGUUAGAGUGAGUGGACAAAAAUAAAAUAAUAAAUAAAAUAUUUAUGUUUCCCCAAAUUAAUUUCUAAGAAAAAAUCGAAUGCAUGCCGCAAGCGAUAAAACUUUUAUCCCAUAAAAUAUCGAGCCUCUCAGACUCUAUAAUAUAUGUAUGUAUUUACACUCGUCCAUACUCCCUAUAUAAAUUCAUGGGUCUAUAUAGGGCUACUACGCUCGCGUCCAACGCUCACGUCACGCCUUAAUGCAGUGCUACACUACGCCAUCAAGGUGGACAGACGGGUGUAUAAAUAUGUGCCCAUACCCCCUAUAUGAAUUAAACACUCAUAUAGGGCUACUACGCUUACGUCCAACGCUCACGUCACACCAUAAUGCGGCUAUAUGCUACGCCAUUAAGGUGGACAGACACAUAUGGCUAGCUAGCAUUUUCUAUACAUACUCUCUCAUAUAUACAUAUUUAUAUUCACCGAAAAUCCCAUUUUCGGUAACUCUCUCUCAGAGAAAUAAAAGCGUCAAAAUUAAUUGACGGCAAAACUCUAACAAAAGGAAAUGUUCAAUCAUGAACCAUAGCAUGCAUAUUAUUUCAAAUAAAAGUCCACUCACAAAUUAGGCCUAAUCCUGAUGUCGAUCUGGGGUCUCGUCUGCUCGAGCCUCCUCACGUCCUGUUCCAAAUAUAAUAUUAAUUUCCCAACCAAUAAUCCAAUAUUUAAUCAAAAUAGGCAAAAUUACCCGAGAGCCAUAAAUACGCUCAUCAUUGCCUAACUUCGAUAUUCUUAAAUCGGAACGAUCCGAACUUAAAUAUCAUACUCGACAGUCGUAAAUACAACCUCUCCAAAAUACGACUUAAAUCCUACGGCCGGAUUCUACAUUAAUUACCCGCCAAAAAUACCACACUUCAGAAAUUCACAAACCUAUCCAAAUCUCAUCCAAAAAUUCCAAAAUUCACUUCAAUAAUAUCUCCUUAAUAUUCUACAUCAAAAACCAGACAAUUUCCCAAAACAGCGGCGGCGGCCGGCGACCAACUCCGGCGACCUGCAAAUGCUACCAAAUUUUAACAGAAUCUUCCUCUCAAUCUCCUCUACAACUUUCAUGACUAACACAUCACCCAAUUCUAAGCCUAACUAGGCUAAUCGAACGAAAACAACUUAAACACCAUAAAACUUCCACCUCAAAUUCCUCCUUACCUAGCUCAAGAGGGAGUGAGUCCUUUUAGGGCAAGGCUGCUGGGUUGGAGGGCUACAAAACCAUACCAAGCUUGCUCGGAUUGGUGGCCGGAGGAGGAAGUUCCGGCGACGUGAUCCCUAACACAGUCGGACCUCUCGGGCCAGAUAUCUCCCUCACGGCGGCGCUAGGGGAGCUGUCACCGGUCCAAGAAGGUUGCUGGGUUGAAGACCGAUCGAUUGGGACCGGUGCGGCGGUCUGGGGCGGCCGGACGGCGGCGGUCUGGCGGUCGGAAAACGGGACAGCGGGAGGGCUCGGGUGCGGGAGCGGGUGAGGAGAGAAAAUCGGGAGGAAAAGAAUGGGCUUGGGCCUCACACCCCAAACCGGUCCAACACUUAUAAACUAUCCAAAUUCUAAAAUUAAACACCCCGAAAAAUAAUACCCGAAUAAAAAUUACCUUUUACUAGCUAAAAUUUACCAUUUUUACCGUCGUCGUAUUUUCCUCAUACGAAUAAUCCUCUGCACAUAAUCGUCCCCGAAACCCCUCUAGGGACCAAUUAAACUAUUUACUCAAUGAUCGAGACGGUAAAAUUCUUAUUAUAAUCACGCUAGUAAAUAAGGUAAAAAUAUAAGGGUCGGGAUGUGACAGAUUAUAUUCUUGAUAUCCUUGUUAUGUGACAAAUAAUUUGUUCUAUUAUUGCUCUAAAGGAGAAUGAGAGGUUAAUUAUCUGUUAAUUAAGAAUAUAUAUUGUCAUUCUAAAGUUUACACUUGUUCAACUGAAUUUCUAUUAUAGCGCACAUUCAUUAACUCUCAUGUGAUUCCGACUUUUUUUUUUUUAGUACAGAGGAUCAGCCAAAACGGCUCACCCUGUAAUAAAUUUUAUUUUAAAGAGAAAAAAAAAGAAGCACAAUAGCAAUGAGAGGACAUAAAACCAAGCUCCUCAAAAGAACCACAUGAAAGAACAGGGUUCUGUGUCUGUUGAAGACGACGUACUGCGCGCAACAUAUUAGAACGAUUUUGUUUUUUGAUUUUUGAAUUUCAAAGGAUUAGAAAGAUAAAUGAGAGUUUUAAAAAAUAAAAAAUCAAAUCAGGAAAAAUGAAAAAAUAAUUUCGUAAUUAAUAGAAAACAUUAAUAUAUAUAUAAAUACUAGAAAACACACUUUGAUGAUGUGUGUAUGUCACGUCGUGUGCCACAUAAGAUAUGCUCUAGGUGGUUCACGUAGCAUUACUCAUUAAGAUUAGAGCGCACCCAUAUGAUAAUAAUACCUCUGUAAUCUCUAAAUAUUGCUCCAUAACCUGCACGAUCAGAAAAGGCAAAGUUGACUUUAACUUAAUCAACCUACGAAUAUUAAUUAGUUUAGAUCAUUAAUCGCAUUUUCCACUCACAGUCAUCUCUGCGGUGCAUGGAAAUUUGUUAUCAGUUGCAGGAGUUGCUCCAUGAUCAAUGAGUUCCACAUUAUCGCUAUCUAGCUAGGGCAUAUUUCAGUCCCCCGACUACAAGGAUGACAUUAUUCACGAAUCUUACUCAAACAGGCCACUAGGUUUUUCUGCUUAUCGGGCCAAAGAUCGGAAUAUUUUUUUUCAGCGGAAUAUGAAAGCAUAUAAAAGGUAACAAUAAUCAUAAUUACCGAAAUAUUGUAAACCACGUUAGAACUCAAAACCAUAAAAAACCCUAAGGAGCGGCGGCUUCAAGAAUUCGGAACAACCUCGUCCGACCGCAGCCGUGGUCUAGGCUGGUCCAUUUGGCCACGCCGACGAGAGUAUAGCAUUCGUUCUAGUACGCGGUCUACCCAUUCAGCUAAACAUUAGUGUUUCAUAAAUCCAAUCUUUUCAGAUUGCAUGAAAUUGAGAUAUAUAACUUCCAAUAAAUUAAACGGCAUAAUUGUCAAUUUAUCAUCAUAUUAAUGUACUAAUCAUAUGAUCCAAGUACAAAUGCACAAGAUAUAUAUAGUUCACAUCAUCAUUUCGUAGGAUUAAUAUGUCUGAACCAAAAAAAAAGUUUCUCAGAAAUUAAAUUUGUAAUGCUAUUCACUACGUCAUAGCUAGAAUCACCCGUACAGUUGAUGACUUCAUCUAUCAGUCGCUAUUAAGCUGUUGUUGCAAGAACCAUAUAUUCUCUUCAUUCCAUAAAUUAUCCACCGAGUCAUCCCCACCAGGAGUUGACCAACUGUUGCUGCUUUCUAUUUGCUCGGAACCUUGAAAAUCCGAAUCAUCUAAUUGGUAACAACCGGACCCGUAAUUUGUUGAAGAAUAGUAUUGCCCGUUCGUUGGAUAAUAGUUGAUGAGCUCACUGAACUCAGUUCUGGUAGGCUCUCCAAUAUAAUUCAAACAAUCUUGAAGUCCCGUUGAACCGGACGAAGUUGCAGACGUCUCGGGCAGGUAGUGAGUAGACCCAGCAGCCGCCGUGUUACUUUGGUCAGAGAGGCUGUAGUCAUCUGUUGGUGUAAAUGAGGUGGCGGUGGCGGUUGCGGUUGCGGUGGUUUGACCCGAUAACAAAGUCGUAGAAUCGGGUGAAGCCCGGAUCCUUUCCAUUAAGCGUGGAAUCCACACGUAACGCAUGGCGUCCUGGAAUUGUUUGCUGUUAACGUCACAAUUGAGAUGCUUUGCUUGCUUUUGGACUCUUGUUCUCCAGUAGUUCUUGAUCUCAUUGUCUGUUCUUCCCGGCAAGUAUUCCGCUAUCUUCGACCACCUGAACCAUAAAUUCCAUCAGCUUUCAAAUUAACUGUACGUAAAUUCUAACCAAGUAUUAAAAAAAAAAAAGAGACUUUAAUCCCAUCCCAACUGUGUAAGACAGUAAGAGNNNNNNNNNNNNNNNNNNNNNNNNNNNNNNNNNNNNNNNNNNNNNNNNNNNNNNNNNNNNNNNNNNNNNNNNNNNNNNNNNNNNNNNNNNNNNNNNNNNNNNNNNNNNNNNNNNNNNNNNNNNNNNNNNNNNNNNNNNNNNNNNNNNNNNNNNNNNNNNNNNNNNNNNNNNNNNNNNNNNNNNNNNNNNNNNNNNNNNNNNNNNNNNNNNNNNNNNNNNNNNNNNNNNNNNNNNNNNNNNNNNNNNNNNNNNNNNNNNNNNNNNNNNNNNNNNNNNNNNNNNNNNNNNNNNNNNNNNNNNNNNNNNNNGAGAGAGAGAGAGAGAUAUGGAGCUGUGAAUUGUAUUAGGAAUCUAGCUAUAAUCAGGAGAAUGGAUCGGAUUAGAUGAGAAUUGAACGAGGGGGGUUAUAUAAAUUAAGCUGGUAAGAAUAAAACGGUGAGCGUGUGAUGGAACGCAGUCAAGACUAAUCUUGGAUCAAAAGUAGUUUAAUAAAGAAUUAGUGCUAAGAAUUCUACUGGUGAUACAUAAUCAAUAUAUUUUUUACUUUGGAAUUUGACCAUUUGACCUAUCCACCAAGAAACAUAGCGUCUCACGCGCACAGACUAGCUUCUAAUAGAUCGACUAAUACAAUUUACUUGAAUAUUAAACUACAAAUUAAAAUAAUGCAGAGCGGAGUGUUUUAAUUUCUUUAUUAGUUAUAUUCGAUUAUGCUCAUGUUUCAACUUUGAAGACGAAGAUCGAUCUCACUAUAUAUGUACAUAUUUUACACCAUAGCCUUGUGAGAGAUUUGGAAGUAUAUAAUACUAACAAAAUUUGACCUACCAAUUAACCUCUUGUUCUCCAAAGAUCUGGACCAUAUAUAUGCAUGCAUGGUUUGGAAAAUCAACAGCAUUUCUUAUCUCCAUUAAUCUUUUUACUGUUCGAUCAUGGCUGGUGUGAGGUGACUAUAUUGAUAGGAAUUUACCAUUGUUGACGAAAAGGCUGGUGUGCGCACCUACUUAAUUAACGAUCAAAUUAAUCUUGUGCAGAGGAAAGCCAUGCCAGGCUCAUGGUCUUUUUAAUUUGUUAAGUCGGUGGGGCCUUGAUGAAAAUUCACUGCCCUACCGACCUAACAAAUCAUUUUUAUCUUGAUCGAGGAAAGCUGGCUAUAUUGGCUGACUAUUAAGAAAUAUGGAGAAUUCACUACAACAAUAUGGAGCAAAGGCCACACAAGUUAUAUGGCUUUUAAAAUUGUUGCAUUUUCCUAUAAGUGUAGCGAGUGAGGACAGUGACAAAACUAUAUUACGGCCCGGGAGGGUCCGGGACCCCGGUUGGGUUUUUUAAUUGUCUUAAUUAAUUACCUUUAAUUGGGUAGCUUGGUUAUAGCAAAUUUACCCUUAAUUUUGUUAAUGAAUCCCCCUAUAUUAUAGCCAAAUCUGAUUUCGUUCAAAUAUUAGCAUUUAUCAGUUAAAACUUAAACAUUUGAUAGGUUUAUUUUUGUGUUAUCUAAUCAUAAUAUCAUAUCUGUUACAUUUAUUUUCCAUUUAGCUAGUAUUCUUAAUAAGAUUCAAUGCAUUUAUCUUCUUUUUCAUGGUAAAUUUACGGGGAAAAAAUAUUUGUUCUUGAGCUUUUUACUUGGAACCCCUCCCCUCCCCAACCUUGAAAUCGAUCCUGGUUCCGCUACUUAGUUAAGAUAUUAAUGGAGUAUGAAGGGGAAAUAUACCAUACAUGUGUGAAUUGUAACACCUCUAAAGGCCACAUUUGCUCUAUAUUAUUGUAGUGAUUGGAACCUUUUUUUUAUUAUUAUUAUUUAAAAUCGCAGUAUCUCAAAGGCUUCCUAGACUCUAAAACUAAUCCGAUAGGAGUCCGGAAGCCAGCAAGGCAUUGCAGCCGCUCCCCUUGCCACUUUUGACAAUGUCGUGGUGAAAAUGUGUGUUAAAAAUGCACUAGAAUUUCACUGUACGUGAUCCUAAACACAAUUUUUAGACACAAACAUAAAACAUGCAUUGUUAUUUAAUUAGAACAUUAUAUUGCAAUUAGAAUAGUAAUUGGACGAAUAGUAAAAUAAAAACAUUGUUGUGCACUUCUGCUGUGAAUAUUUACGUAUACGCUUUGCGUGCAUUCUCGAAUUUGCGCCCAAGAGGACAGAAAAUAUUGAGCUCUUAAAGGUAAAUUAAUCCCAUACAGAGACAUGAAGUUUAUAUUCCAACUCCUUUAUCUCUAAUGGGAUACUGUAGGGAAGAAAUACCAACAAAGACCAGGACAGUUAGAUUCUGAUCUUUAUCAAAUUAACCAGUUAUUUUAUAGGAAAAAUUUGAGACCCAAAUUCUCAUAAUAAGGAGAAGAAGAAAAGGAAAGUGAAGUCAAAAGUUUGUAAUUGAUGGAUUAAGUGGAAUUGUACCCACAAAAGUGAAGCAUAUAAGGAUAGGAAUCCGUAGUGGCAAUAAUAUUACAAAAGCUCAAUUACUUUAUCGAUGGAAUAUAUCGAGUAAUAUAGCAGUGUUUGAGGUUCAUGGCUUUCAAUUUCUAUGAAACCUGAUGGUGCACAUGCACUUGCUCGCACUUGCGUACUUUCUGGAACAUUAUCUUGGAAGAUGAUGUAGCUGGGUCCCAUCGAUCAGUCCCAUGUUUAUCUUGAAGCAAACAAAGAAUCAGUUUAUCGAGCUCGUUCAAAACACUGGCUUUAAGCCUUUAAUAGAUCAUGACAUCAUAAGGAUACUGAGAACAUAAGGUUUAGCUGACCGUAUAUAUAUUUUGUGAAAGUUAUAGCAGAUGCAUGCAUUUACUGUUUUAGUUCCCACGACAGUAGUGCAGCUGGGAGACCAAACAUAUUGAAGCAUGUAUCCAAUUCGUUGUUGGAAUUUGGUUAUGCAGAACGUACCUCUCCGCAACUGCAGCUAGUUAACACUUCACACCGGCCGGCCAACAAAUAUUUUACGUCUCCGCAACUGCAGUUAGUUAAUACUCAUUGACAUACAUGUCGGUAAACUGUGGCUUGGUUGGUUCGUUAGCUUAAUUAACAAUGUUGAUGUUAUGAGUUCAAAUUAACCUCUUACUAAUCAUCUUAUAUUGAAAAGGGAAAAUGCCCAUUUAGUACUAAUUCAAACCCCUUGUUUCUCAUUCCAAUGAUAAUCUUUUGCAUUAGCCCAUUCUAAUACAAGGUAACCAUUUUUAUGCCCAAAUGCACAAAUCUUUAUGCCCAAAUGCACAAAUCUUUACUAAAGUCUUAACAAACCAUAUUAUUUUAAGACUAUUUUGCCCCCACCUCUUCAACAUGAAAAGACUUGGCCGGAACCUCGGACUCCGGUAACCGGCCGCCGGACACCGGACUCCGGUCACCGGAUUUUCCCCGACAGCCGGAUUCCGGUCACCGGAUUUUCCUCUGUAACCAAUUACUGACCCCCAAUAAUCAGUUACUGACCCAUAAUAACCAGUUACUAACCCCCAGUAACCAGUUAUUGAUUAAUUACUGACACCCGGUAACCAGUUACUGACCCCCCAAUAACUUUUAGUUUUUAGUUACUGACACCCAGUAAUCACUUAGUUUUCAGUUACUGACACCCAGUAAUCACUUAGUUUUCAGUUACUGACCCCUAAUAAUUUUGGUUACUGACCGGAGAGGAGAGAACUGAGGAACCGGCCCGACGGUGAGCACCCACAUUUCUUCUCUGGGCACCCACCUUCCCCGACGGUGAGCACACCGGCCUCCUCCACCGACCCCGGCGCACGCCGGCAAGCAACGCCCUUCUAGGGGAGUAGGAGAAGCGGUGAGGCAGCUUAGAGCCGGUUUCCGGGGCUGUGCGGUUGCGGGUGAUUUUGCGGUGGUGGCGGCACCGGCGAAUGGGACGACGAGGUUGGGCUGCGGCAGAAGAGACGACGGUGACCGCGCCGGGGAUCGGGUGAUUGGGCGCUGCAGAAGGUGGAUCGAGAAGAGAAGGUGGUCAGAGUUACGGAAGCAGACAAGGAGGAAGAAGAGGAGGGAGAAGGCGGUGGUGGCAGCGCCGGCGAGUGGGACGACGAGGUUGGGCUGCGGCAGAAGAGACGACGGAGACGGCGCCGGGGACCGGGUGAUUAGGCGCGGUAGAAGGUGGAUCGGGAAGAGAAGGUGGUCGGAGGAGAUGAAGUAGCGGUGCUUGUGUGGGCAGCUAGCGUCGGAGGAGGAGGAGGAGGAGGAGAGAGAGAGAGAGAGAGAGAGAGAGAGAGAGAGAGAGAGAGAGAGAAGAAGAAAGAAGAAGAAGAAGAAGAAGAAGAAGAAGAAAGAGAUAAAAACUGUGUGAAUUUAAUUAAACACAGGGUAAUAACGUCUUUUUUUCAAGAAUCAUUGGAAUGGGCACAAGGAUAAGACUUUAAUUGGAAUGGGCUUUAGUUUUCAAAUAUUUGGGCAUUAGGGCAUUUUCCCUAUUGAAAACUUGAUACAAAUCCCUUAAAAAGUUACUUAUCCAUAUGAAAUGUUAAUCAGUUGUAUCCUAGAGCAAAAACAAUAUUAACCGCAACCAUAAAUUUUUUAACGAUUGAUUCCAUCUAGGGUGCUUGUAAAUAUACCUAGAAACUUUGAAAUGCACCUAGAAAUUAAGUAUUUUCCACAUUUACCCUCGAUUCUAAUAUUAUACAAACCCAAAGACAUAUCUCUAUUAAACUCUCUCUGUCGUGGCUAGGUUAGGGUUUUUGUAGAGUAAUCGGUUGUGCGGCAUCGAAAACUCCAUGGCAGACGCAAUUGCAACAAUGACCGCUGAGAUAUUACCUGGUGACUUGCAAAAGGGUUUGUGGCUCUAAGAUAUUACCUGGUAGGCCGCUUCUACACUGCCAGAGAAGUGCUUUUUGAUCCUUUUCACAAUGCAAUGCACUCUAUGUGGUGGCUACCAACCCCGUACAGGCCCAUACCUGAGAUUUUCAUACCUGAGUCGAACUUUCAAAAUUUGGCGCUUAAAGUAUAGUAUUCAUUCAAUUUUAUUUUCUCUUUUCAAGAAACACACAAAAUUUUCACGAACUAAAGUUAUAAACUCAAAAUCUAACAACAAAAAACAUUAGAAAUCCUAUUAAAAAUCUUAUUUAUACAAAAAAUUUCUUACUUAGGCUGCUCAUUUUUUCUAAAAUAGUAAUUAAUGAUAGUAAUAUAACAGGUAAAAUUUAAUAUUCAUUUUUCUCUUUUGUAAUCUAACACCACCUAAUUGGAUGUUGUUAAGUAUUUUUGAUUGUUUUUAACUAAACUACAAAAGAAAAUUUUGGGCCCCUUAAGGUUUUGGGCCCUGAGUUCAUCGACUCUUAGGACUUUAUUCAGGUACGGGUCUGCCCCUGUGGAGGUCUAGGGCAAAGACGACCGACUCCUCUACACAUUUACGAGAGUGAGAGGGAUGUGAAUCUUGUAAAAAGGGGAGGACCUUGGUGCUAUAUAUCAACGUGCCAUGAUCAUGUUGAAUGACUAUGAUAGGUUUUCUAACAUCAUGGUUGUUUCGCUAAAUUUUGUGUGAAUUUAGGUUGAGAUCCAUGGCCUUCUGGCUGUGCUUACUAUGGUGGAACCGGCAAGUUGGUGGGCAAGACCAUUGGACCUGUCUUGAGGGUUGAUGAGGCGAGUACAAAUCGUGAAGUUGUGCGCGUUCAUGCCACCCUUCCCCUGAACAAUCAUGUGUGUCUGGAUAAUUGAUGUUAUUUAAGAGUUCAAGUAUGAACGACUUCUAUAGGAGGUGCAGAGAUUGCAUAAUGAUUAACGAUGGGGGACUUCGCUCUGUCUGCUACGCCUCCAAUGGUGUUUCGAGGGUCUGUGUCUACCUCAGCUACACUCUUUGUGCCAACAGUGUCCCUCUCCAAAGAGAAGAAUGCAACAACUAUUAGAGAAGUACUUGAAUUCCCUUCCCCCACCAAAAUUAUUGGGGUACGUCGUGGAAGAGAAGUUGAAGAAUCUGGUGAUGGUAGAAGACCAAAACACUCCCUGGCAUUAGUUCCCAUGCCACUAAACCCAGAGGAGAUGGGUUUCUUUGUUACUGAAUCAAGGGUACUUGGUAUCAAGAAGACAGGUAAGUCACCUAAGAAAAGAGGACAUCCCCGCAACAGCCGUAAUAAGAAGAUGUUUGGUGAAGCUUCUGAUGCCUCUGAUUUUAAUGGCAUCUAACUUGUCUGGUUCUACAAUGGUUAAGAAUAUCGGCCUCGUCUCUGAGGUUGAGGAGGAAUAGUUUCCCUAGUGCUACUAGCUAGGAAAGAUUCCUUUCAAAACCCAUGCAACUACUCUCUCUCUCUCUCUCUCUCUCUCUCUUCUCAUCGAUAAAAGGUACACCACUUGAGGUCUUAGGCCUCAUUCGUUGAGGGUAGAGUGGUUAAUAGGUGUUUGGAAAGUUAUUUGCUAUUUUUAGUGAGACAUAUCCACCUUUUUGUAUGUAGUUUUGAGAUUGUUUUUCAAUUCUUAGAAAUAGUUUGAUUUAGCUUUGUUAUGUGCUUGUAUGGUCUUUGGACUGUUCAUGCUUGAUCUUUUGGUCAUCAUGAUCUUUGAUCAACGGAUUUAUCUCAUUCCUAAUAGAAAAAAAAAAAAAUCAUUAUCUAUUAACAGUUUAAGCUCCGAGAAUAAAUCAAUGUAGAGGAUAAUCUUGGUCGGUUUGUUGUUAUUGUGGUGAUUGUUCAUUUGUGUCAGAGUAAUUGGGUUGUCCUAUUCAUCCCACAUCAUGGUUGAUUGGGGAUGAUUUUAGUGGGUUUGAGUGAAUUGAAGUGAAGAGAUAAAUAUGAUAAUUUACUAGGGCUGGCAACAGAUUCUUCAUCUUAGUCGCAAUUUUAUCAUAUUUAUCUCUUCACUUCAGUUCACUGAGACCCAUUAAAAAUCAUCCCUAAUCAAUCAUGAUGUGGGAUGAUCAACCCAUUAAGAAUUAGUUUAUGAAGCUAGCAUAUUACUGUGUUUAUGUGUCAAGAUAUUAGUUUAGUGUAGAAUGCCAUAUUUAGCCUAAGCCUACCCAAUUUUCAGCGAAUGGUAGUUUUAUUGUUCUUAAAACUACUAAACUCUCUAAUCCUUCACGGCUUCACCUAUUGAUGACUAAUAAACAAUUUCGUAACCACCAAAAGUGUUCGGUUAGUAAGAGCCUAGAUAUGUAAAUCCUCAUAUUCGAAACAUGCCGACGUUGGUUGAAGUCUCAAUAUAUUCUUGGUGGCUAGGAAGAAGAAAGCAUUUUGGCAUGAUCUCUCGGUAUAGAUUAGUUUUUAGGUAAAGAAACGUGAUCUUGAUUAAAAAUAAAAAAAUAUAGAAAAAAAGAUUUUCUGUUGAAGGAAAAAUACCGUAAGUGUGCAUUCGUCAAAGUAACUGACGAAAGUAAAUUAGUAAGUUAUUAAUCAAUAGAUGUAACCGCUCAAUUAGCCAUAUCAGUUAUUAUGUACGUUGUUAUUAACAUUGAAUAUCACCAUUAUAUGUAUAAUUACGUUUGUAAUCGACCUCGAGGAAUGUUAAUGAAGUGAGUAGGCCAUUCCGAUUGUAUUUUUACUUUUACAUUUUCGUAAUUGUAUCCAAUAAUUCAAAUUGAAAAUCCAAAAUUAUGGCUUGGGCUUAAGACGUAAUUGAGGCCCAUGUCUAAUUGUUCAAAUCAGACUGCAGCUCCGUGAUCGAGAUUUUGUGGUGUCAGACUCUCAAGUUUUGAAUGGUCAGCUCCCUUCCUGCUUUGUAACUCAGUUUGACUAUGUCUGCUGCUUCUGCAACCGCUGUAGCAGCCUACAUAUCUAGACUAAACUGUACCAGUCUCACCCACGUACCCGUUUGGAGGAGCCCUUCUUCUCUAAGACCACAGCCGUCUCUUACUCGCAUCUUCUUCAAAAUCCCAUGUGGAUUUUCCCAGCAAAGCUCGGUCCUCACUGGAUUCAGACGUCUUUCCCCUGUUAUGCAAUGGCAGGACUGCACGUAAUUUCCAUCUCUCCUUGCUUUGAGAAUAUUGAUUCUUGUUUGUUUAUUUACAACGAUUGUCGGAAAGUAAUUUGUUCUAUUUGGUAAUUCAUGUGGUUAUGAGGAUCUUCAAUGAUUAGUCAGAACCCAUAUCAGCGAAUAUUUACUGAUUCUUUUGUUGCUUCAUCGAGUUACAGUUUAAUAUAUUUUGAUUUGAGGGUCUAGACUUCAUAUAUCUGAUUUUGUUGCAAUCAACUCCUUCAGUGUAGUCUAUUCUUAUAGGUUGCUUCUCAAUCGAUUAGGAAUGCACGAUGGUUUUUAUAUUGUAAGUGCUUAAAUGAUUAAUGACCCGUCUGUGUUUUAUCAUGUUGGUGCUUCUUAUGAUGGUUUAUAUCUCUUACUCAGAAUGUAGUAGUCAAGGUAACCAUAGAUAAUGUUAAUGGAGUUCUUGAAUGAGGUCUAUUCGACUAGCAUGUAUGUUCUACUAAUGUCUAGACAAUGUACUUAAAUGCAGAGUAAAGACGGAAAUUGAUGUGCCUAUUUCAGUUGCAUAUGAUUGUUACUCUGAUCGUGAGGCAAUUCCCCAAUGGAUGCCCUUUAUUUCUACGGUAAAGGUACUAAACAAGUCUCUCAACACUAGUUUGGUGACCUUCAAUUAUAUUGAAAUAAACUUGUGUUUGAUCCAUAAAAUUGUUUAUUUGAAAAACAUAGGUAUUAGAAGACAAGCCUGAUCUAUCACGAUGGUCGCUUAAGUAUAGAGCUUUUGGGCGUGAUAUUGAAUUCUCAUGGCUUGCUCGAAAUAUGCAGGUAAGAACCAUAUACCAUGCUUAAAACUCAAAAUUCUUUGUUUCCCUUUCAUAAUAUGCACACCUAUCAUCAGAACUAAGCGAUUUUUUUUGUGGUUGACAAUACUAAGCAGUUGUAUAAUGUAUUCUAACAAUGCUCUCUUUCAAACUAUGGUUCAAUUAUUUUCAUGCAGCCAACCCGAAAUCAGAAAAUCCACUGGAGAUCUCUGGAAGGUCUUCCUAACAGGUGUGAAGAAGAGAAACAUUAGCUGAACUGUGUACUAGUAGCUAUAGGUCAAGUGUGUGCAUUUAAGUCUUUAUAUGUGCUGAAAAAAAAUGCAUAUUAGAUAUAAUUUGCUUUGCUGUUAUGACAUUAAUGCUAGAGCUUAUGAUAGAACAUCUUAUCGUAUUGAGGUAUUAGGUUAAAAAUUAUUGAAGGGAAUAUGUGAAGUCAGUUACUGGAAACAAAUUCAUAUAAAUUUGUUCUGGUUCAAAGUGCACCAGGAGCUUAAAUGUCCGUACCAUCCCUAACAAGCUCAAUCACCAUAUUGUACUAUUUUAGGUUUAUCUUAUAUAUAAGACUCAGAAAUCACAGGAUGGAGAUAUGUACUUCAGUUUUCAAAGAGUCCGCAACAUUCAUUAUAAAGUAUGUCACAAGAUGAUGUUAUGCCCUUGUUAUUUACGCUAUAACAUGGAAAAUUAUAACACUGAGCGUGAUGUUUCUUAUUAGGUAUAACAUAAACAAUAGACUAAGUUUCUGUGUUUUGUUGAUAUCAGAAUUUUGAUAUACUGAUUUACUUGCAUGGCAGAGGCGCUGUUCGUUUUUAUCCAAAAGGUUCAUCGUCAUGCAUAGUAGAAGUGAGGCUGCUUUCUUCUAUAUUGAAUUUGAAUUGCUCACAAUUAUAUUUAUAUUGUUAUGGAUCUUCUGUAUCCAUCAGUUCCAAUCAAUGACAGAUAGGCAGUGUUUAGUGCAUUCAAUCGGGCAUAUGAAGGCCAUUCAAUUGAUGCUGCUCAGAUCAUUGAUUUUCAGUUUGAUUAUUUGAAAUACAUUUCUAUGCCCCUGGCCAUCAAUUGAACAGCCCGAUGUCUUUUCGUCUAAAGUAACAUCAGUGGUGUCACUGACUUGGUUUUCCUGUUCUGGCCUUUUCUGAGGAAGAACUAGGAAAAAUACACUUCUAUUUCUUAGUCUCUGUCGGGUAGCUCAAAUUGUUUCUUUUUGUUUUUCUCUUUCAGCUAACCGUCUCUUAUGAAGUUCCUGCAAUUUUGGUUCCAGUGGCAUCAGUAAGUACUCUAGCUACAGAUAACAUAUCAGACUCCAUGUAAUGCAAGUUAUAUGACAUAGGAUACUAGCAACCCUCUCUCUAACUCCUAAUGACAUUUAACAAAAAGAAAAAGGAAAAAUAAACUUUAGAUAGAGGGAGAGAGGGAGAGGGCUAAUAUCAAAUAAAUUGACAGUUUGUCAUCAGAAUCAGACUUCUGCAACCGUAGAUUUGUUUGAUAUUCUUACUAAGAUAAUUUUAGAUGAUGAAAUAUUGAAAUGUGCCUUUCUGAUAAUAAUACAUUACUACAGUAGGAAAUGACAAGAAAUGGAGAAUGUCUAAACACUAAAGGAAAUGUACACUUGUUAUGUGGCUUGAUUGCAUCGCAUAAAGAAAUAUAGCAAAUGUUGUUUGUUCGAAGCAGUCCCUCAUUUUGAUUCGUAUGGCAUGUUCCAGGCACUGCAACCUUUUACUGAAAGUUUACUUGCACGCGGCUUGGAAAGGUUUGCAACAUUUGCGAAAAGCUACAAAUCGGACUCAACUGUUUGAUGUUACAUAUGGUAACUGAACUUGUAAACGGGUGAUCAUUUUAAUGUGCAGUGAUUGCCAUAGAUUCAUUUAACAUGGCAAAUUAAUAUUUCCAAUGGAAUCUGAUUUUUCACCAAGGCAAACAAGUGGCUUCAUUUCAUUAAUGAUCUACCAGAGAGCUGCCAUUUUACUGUGUUAUACAUACGACAGAAUAUUAUCAAGAAUACAUCAUUUCUUUUUUCAAUACUCUUGUAGUUCUUGUUGCUCAGAUUGUUGGAUCACCAAAGGCUUAGCCAAAUACUUGAGCUACCAAGGCGUAACCGCAACUGUAGUUGGUCUUAUGCAACACGCUGAAAGAACAUGACUGUUUUUGUAGCGAUAGAUAUGAUCUUUCUAUAAAACGAAAGAACUGAUGAUGGAUGAGUAGUCUGUGCCCCAAAACAGUUUAGAGUUGAGAAAACUAACAGAGUCACUAGCAAGCUCGUCCAGUGCGGAAUACAUGUUGCUGGUUAGGUUAGCCAAGCUUCGAAAAGUAAAUGCCUCUUUGGGGAUGAAAAAAAAAGCUAAAAAGAUCUCAGAUAUUAAUGAUGACAAUGUACAUAGAUACAAAUCAGUGGAUCUACAACAGAUGGACAAUCUAUGGACUGCUGACGAUAAGAAUGCCUCAACAUACGGCUUUUACAACACAACCUGCAUCCGCCUCCCCAUUCUUAUGUAUAUGUACAUCAAAUCCUGAGCUGAGCUCACUGGGCCAGGCGAAGAUGAGAAACUGAAACACCGACAAAACUGGUAGCUGCCAUCUCAUAAAUGAAGCAGCCAAAACAAUGUAUGAACACUCUCUUGACAAGAAGACAUUUAUCAGAGAAGUUGAAUGUGCAAUCAGCCACUGCUGUCCAACAAGUUCCUCAGGCUACAAAGGGCCUCCGCAGAGAGGCUGCAACACCUAUAUCUUCGUUCCCGAGGCGGUGAUAAUGGUUCCCGCUGAUCAAGAGAAGAGAAGCACACAACAAUCACUGUAAGAUUAUCAAACGUGUUGAGGCGAAGAGCCUCCAUGACUAGAUCCUUGGCACACUGCUCUGGGUCAUCAUGCCGCCGCAGCCCACGGCGAACAAGGCUAACUGCAUGCUGACUUGACAUCACAUCCCAGAUCCCAUCACACCCUAUAAUGAGAAACUCAUCUUCCUCUGUUAAAUCCAUCCUUCGGAACUCUGGUUCAGCUAUAAGGGGUGAAGCAGAACCACGAGGAAACUUCAUGUCCCAGUCACCUAAGGCUCGGGAAACUGAUAAGACACCAUUCAGAUACCCAUCAUCAACAUAUCCCCCCAGUUCUUCAACUCUCUUGCGUUCAGAGGGAUAAAUUGGCCUAUGGUCUUGGGACAUAUCAAUUGCCUCUCCCUUCCUGCAGAGAACAGCUCGACAAUCACCAGCAUUGGCUACUAUCAAAAGCCUGAAAAAAAAAAAAAAAAAAAAAAAGGAAAACAAGUUCAAUCACAAGUGGAAGAGAAUUAAAAGUAGAUAAUGGACAUAUAUACAGGAACUAAUGCCACACAGCCCAAGUUGAAUCAAAUGAGAUAUCGACCUCUUCUUCUUGAGAAACUAAUAAAGAAACACUGACAGAGUAAAAUGACAGCAGAUGAUUGUAAGGAUUUGGUUAUUAUCUAAUUACAGACUACGUCAACGAAAUAGUCUUUUCCUUUUGGUACAGUAAGAAGGGAAGUAAGAGAAUUCUAAGCAGAUAUAUACCUUCCAAAGAUCAUAGCAGUUAGUGCUGUUGUCCCAGAUGAACUGCUUACGCUGCAGUCAUCUGCCAAUGCAAGGUCUACCUGAUGAAAUGCGUUACUUAGAGUAGUCUCCAGCUCCUCUAAGAAAAUCUUAUUAACCUCAGAAGCUCGGGGAAAAUUGACAUCAUCAAACAAGAGUCUCAUCACAUUUUUUCGAACAUAAGCUGCUGCUUCAGGUCCUCCAUGUCCAUCAAAUACCUAUACAACAUGUCCAAUUAAAGUAAGCUUCAAAAUCAUGUUUUAUUCAAAAAAAAAAAAAAAGUAAAAGCUUAAAAACUAGAAACCAGAGUAAGUUUAUUACAAUGGCAAACUCAGAAAUAUCAUUACCCCAUAAAAAGCACUUGGGGUGGGAAAACUAAAGAGCGAUCCCAAGUGUGAAGAUAGAUCAUCUAUCAGUAUAUGUUCAUCUUCCAUGUAUCUACGGGGUCCAAUGUCAGCGAAGCUACCAGAACGGAGCCUGGGAAAGAAUUCCUGGUCAGCCGUCUCAUGAGCCAAGUCUGAAACUUUAUCUGCCGGUUUACCAUCCUGAAAAGAAGUAAUAGAAAAAGAUCAAUACAUGUUAGGCACUUUAAACUAGUUAGAUUGCACCCGGAAGCAUUAUUUCUAAUUAGCAGCAGUUCAAACUUCAAGUUCAAUUUUGAUCAAAUCUUAUAACACUGAGGGAAGUAUUAUGCUGACAAUAAUAUUUGGAUUAAGAGUUUAUAAAGCUGAAACAUGAGCCAAAUGCCCAGAUUUCAAGUACUUAAACCUCAGAUACUAUCAUCAACAUUUUGAUGACUACACAGAUUGUUUCUAAUAGAUUGCUCCUUUGCCAAAUAAUAAAAGCACAUAUUCAUCAACACAAUUCUCUUUUUUGGGACCCCAGAAAGCAAAUGAUCCAACAGAGUUUCAACUGAAAACUAUCAGGGUCGACAUAAUGAUGACUAAACACAACAUCAUUCUUAUUUUCACCUAACCCUUUUUGAGUGAUGCAAUCAUAUUUUAUUACAUCUACCCGAAUCAUUGACAAGGUACCUGACAAAGAAUCAAAUUAACCUUUACCUUGUAAAAACUAUCUUUGCAUUGGUAAGAACGAUUAUCAUGUCUAUUAAUUUGUUACUUUUCUAUCUGUAAUUGAACUGAUCCAAGACUCUUUUUUAUCUUAAACCAAGUCAGCAAUCCAAAACAACCCAGGCCUACUGUUAAGCAAAACAUCAAACCCAGAUAGUAACUAACUAACCCAGAUAGGAGAUCAAAUAAUCACAAAAGAAGACAACUAUUGAAGAUCAGAAAUUAUAAAACUCACAGGUUGGGCAGCAGGGGAAACCGACUCCAGAGGGCGAGUUGGGUCAAACAAAGUCUUCGGAGAAAUCGAUGCAACUACAUCUUCAACAACCUCAUGAACGUUCAUCCCUUUACCAAACACCUCAACGUUCUGCUGACACAUGAUCUUAGUUUCUGCCACCAUUUUCACUCACAAACAUACCACAAACUAAUCCCACUACACAAUUUCUCAAACUUGAACAACUCGAACAACACAACUUUUACCGACGACCAGGUGAUUCGUAUAUUUGUCUCGCGGCUUCUAGAGAGGAGUUGGAUGAAAUGGGUUGAAAAAUUUGGAGGAGUUUGGGUUGAGCUCGCUUUUAUAUGAAACAAAAGGUGACCGGGUACCGGUGGCGUUGUUAGGUCCGGGUACACGUGUCGGCUUUCUGAGGCUUACUGUUGAGUGCACAUGUUGAGGGGUGACUUGGCAUGUUUGCGGACGCGUGACCCUUUGGACCAUUUCCACGUAAUUACAAAAACGCCCUUCCUCUUGUUUCCUCGACCUUCCUGGAAGGUGAGUGAGUUGUCCAACUAGUCGGGUUGACUUUUUGUACGGUGGGAAUCGGGAUAUUUGAGGGGUAAUCUGGACAAUGUGUGGGACAGAGUUGUGAUCUCGGCGUUCACGCUGACGGGUUGGUGACGAGAGCAAUGAGAGACAGUUAGGAGUAGAAGGACGUGAAUGCCCCUCGUUGGAGUAACAUGCGUAGCUUCUUGAAAUCGAACUUGUAAAACGCGCACGAGUAACGUUGCGCGGCAAAGUCAACACGGUAAUUUGGACGCGUCAACGGUCUCUAGUCAAAAGGGUAACUCGUCCUUGCAAAGGUACAACUUAUCCACACAUUUGUUUGUGCAUACGUGAACCUAGGCCGACAAUCGAUUAUUCAUACGCGGCAAGAUAAUCGAUUAUCCAUUUCAGAAUUAUAAGAGAAUCUUUAGAUUUAGAUUAUCUAAAGCAUGCAUUUGUUUUACAAUCUUAGCUUAGCAUGUUUUGCACCUUAGAGGAGCCAGAUUCGAUAAUUUGAUUAUCAACCUGCAAAUGGUAGAUAAGAUGCAGAUGAUUGACUCAUUAGCAGAUACACUUUGGGACAAACCAUUACCCACACCAAACUUUGGGGCAGACAUACUUUUCAUUACUAUAUAGAGAUGAGUUAUUGAGUUUAUCUGGAAGACUCAAUUUGGCAAGUGAUGGACGCAAGUAGAAUAUAGUAAUAGGACACGAUAUAGUUCACCUUCCGCCGUGGUCCUAGCUAAUUAUAUAUGCUUUUAAGGUAAAAUUUUGUGUUUAUCAAUUGGCAAGUAGUAAAUUCCUUUACGUAGGUUGACCCAAAAAGACCUUGCAUGAUUGCCUCGUGCCUUAAAUAGAAGUAAUCAUUAGCAUCACGGGAAGGAGUAGGACUAUCUAGUCCUAUCAUAUAUUAAUCAGGAUCCUUGUACAGCUGGUUUGAUUCUACUGGAAGUUUAUGAUUUACGUUCUAAAUUCUUAUCCAGGUGAUCUAAACUGGUCUGGUUCGGUUAGGUACUUAUGUCCAAUUAUUUGUGCCCUUAGUUUCAGCUGUCAAGAUAAUUAGCUAGGUAGCGUUUGGAACCUGGUGCUAGCUAACUCGAAUUACUAUAUCCAAAUCUCUACCAUCAAAACAAAAAAGUUCUUUCCUAAUAUAUAGUCGAUUAGGUCCAGGGCUGCAGAAUGCAGACACAUAUGAUAUGAAUCUGUUUUAAAUUUAGGGUAAAGUGGGUUUGGUGGUCCGACUGCUCGAUCAAUUAGUCACUAACCAUACGUAUAUAUGGUUCGAAAUAAAAUUCAAUAUGAUGACGACUAAGACUCGGUAAUUGCUAAAUUAAUCUGAGCCCUAUCCUAGCUCCGUCCAAACUCCAAAGAUUAACUGGUGGCGGAUUCCCUGGCCCUAAACUUGCUUUGUUGAUUGUUAUUGUCAUUCAUUGUGUAGUGUAGCUAGGGUUCAUGCGUGGUUGGCCUAGGCGCCUAGCCGAUGUUCGAGAAGAAUAAGAUUCUUUGUUAUGAAAGAUUGCAGAUACAUAAUAUGAGUGUGACGUCUAGCUACGGUCUCUCCCUCGUUCACAACCCAAUUGCAGUCGGGAUGUUUAUCCUUUUUUUUUUUUGAUCAAAUAAGAUGCAUUCAUACGGAAGAUGUUACAAGUGGUAUGAAUAAUACAAGUAGGGCCACUAAUAGACCAUUUAUAACAAAUCUCAGACCGAGAGGCCUGAAAAAUGAUUUCCUAAAAGAGCUCCUAAAUCUCCGGUACACCACGAGACAAGAAAAUGAUCAUUAAUACCAGAAGACUCGUCCGACAAAUUGCCAACAAAGUUGGUAAGAAAGCGUCAGCAUCCCAACGGGUAGCGGCUCUAACCCCAUGAAGGACAAAUGCUCGAGUCAACUCCGCCUCCUGAUUAGUGAAUACACGUGAUAAUUGCGGGUGUAAACCGUCAUCACUAUAUCAGCGGUGUAUUGUAAUCAGCCCAAGCACGACCACAAAGGAUCAAAAUUAUUCAAACACAGAAAAACUUAACAAGCAGACACAAUAAGCAAAUAAACUAGAGAGAUACAGAAAACCUCAUGGGUCAACGAGACCAGACCCAAAGCUGGAAAGGCCCAAAAGCCCCAUCCGAGGCCCAGUCCAAGCUAGCCUUGGCCCAGACCCAAGAGCACCCCAACUUCUGCUACCAUCAGCGACCCCCAAAGCCGACCCUCAACGCCUCUGCCCUACUAUCGUCAGUUGAUAAUCUAGGCCAACACCCACCGGCCUACCUCGUCGCUACCGUCGAAGCAUCCUUUUUUAGAUCGGCAACCCACCUCACCUUGCUUCAACCAACCCCUAGGACAUUUCACCAAAGACAUCAGAUCACCAUAGAUCCUCACCACAAUCAGCUACAUGCCCAGACUAGCCCGAUCUGAACAAGAGAACUGUAAUAUCCCGGAAUUUUGGUUUUCUAUUUUUAAAAAGAAAAUUAUUUUGGGCCAAUUACAUAGAAGUCCACUUUCACACAUUUUCUUCCACAUAAAUCCACCCAAACAUUUUUACUCAUAUAAGUCCACCUAAGCCUAAAUAAGGUUUUAUAUUAGGUAUAGAGGUUGAACAAAAUUACAGACUGUCAUCUAAAAAAAAAAAUUAGAUUCUCCCCUUUAUAUUUACAAGAAUGCCACUAGUAUAUAAAGUCAACAACCACUCUCAUAUCAGAAAAGUCUCCAGCCGACGUCCGGCGAGGUUUCCGACAGACCUCCGACGAGGUUUCCGACGAUGACAAAAAUUACUACUACCAGUUACAAAAGCUACUACCACCAGCUAUAAAAGCUACUACCACCGCCUACAAAAGCUACUACCACCAGCCACAAAAGCUACUACCACCGCCUACAAAAGCUACUACUGUGAGGUUUCCGACGAACACAACAACUACUACCACCAACCACAAAAUCUACUACCACCAGCUACAAAAGCUACUACCACCGCCUACAAAAGCUACUACUGUGAGGUUUUCGACGAACACAAAAGCUACUACCACCAGCCACAAAAGCUACUACCACUGUCGACAAAAGCUACUACUGUGAGGUUUCUGACGAACACAAAAACUACUACCACUAGCCACAAAAACUACUACCACCAACUACAAAAGCUACUACCACCGCCUACCGUCAACGUGUGAAAAAAAUACUAUCACAGUGUGAAAAAUAUACUAUCACCGUGUCGAAAAUAUACUAUUACUAUGUUGAAAAUGUAUUAUUCUACAAUGAUGCUGAUACAUAGUUACAGAUCUCAAUUUCAUUCGUCUCAUACACUAUCAGAACACGAUUUCGUGAUUUCUCUUCCAGUAAAUUUCUAUUGAAUUACAAAUUCCAAACGAAGAGCGACAUUAAUACAGAACAACAGCCUAAUCUUUGUUUACAAAUUCUCAAAACAAACAAACAACUCCAACCAAAUUACAAUCGCAUCUUACCAGAAAUGUCACCUCCAAAGGAAGAUCUGGAUCUUCAAGCCGCCUUUAGAUCUGGUACUUCUUGNNNNNNNNNNNNNNNNNNNNGAGAGAGAGAGAGAUUUCAAUGGGAAAAAGAGAAACUGAUUUUUGGUAGAGAGAGGGGAGGGUAUUUUGGGUAUGGUGUAAAAGUAAUAUGACAAAUCUGACCCAUAAAAUGGACUUAUAUAGGUAAAAAAGUUAAAGUGGCCUUAUGAAGAAAAAAAUGUUGAAAAACUGACUUUAAUGAAAUUUUCUAUUGGUAUUAUCCAAAUUUUUAUUAAAAUAGAAUUUUGUAGCGGCUAGAUCUGGACUGUUGGAGUUUAAACCGCAAGAUCUUGAUUGUUCAUUUGAGAUUAUAUUUGGGAACGGAUAAAGCGGUAGAACAGAAGACAAAACCCAGACCGACUUCGGUCUCGAGUUGCUCUGCAGCGACGGAGCUCAGCUCCCUCCUCCGUCGUCCGGCCGCCUCCCGGUGCAAGGCUGGUAUCCACAGGUCCGUCUCGUUGUCCCCGUCCUCAAGAUGAUCUUCGUUUUCGAUGGGAAGCUCCGGUGAGAGAGAAAAGGAGGAGAAGAAUUUCUAGGUUUCCGAUCGAGUUCGUGACUCCGGCCACGGCGGCGAGCGUGACCGGUAUUGGUAGCUUCGACUCGUCCUCCCCAUCCUCCCUGCGGUCUCUAUUUCGUCAAAGGAGCGUCGAUGAGAGAGAAUUGAGCAGAGGAAUGUUUUAGGUUUUAGGCCGUGUUCUUGAUGUUUUCCGGCCACCGGCGAAGGCAAGCGAGGUAUCAAUCUUCAUCUAAUCGUCGAGCUUUACAUGUUUCUAUAAUUGAAAUUGAGUUUGGAUUAAGUUUGGAAGAAUUUGGGUAUUGGGGCAGUGUUGUGGUGGCUGUUGUUCAUAACGGCAGUGGUGGAGGAGUUGUCCAAUUGCUUGUUAUCUUGUGAAGUUUAUAUUGAUGCUCUCUAAAUAGGUUGGCUUUGUUAAGCUUGAUUUUAUAUUGUCGAGAGUUGGAUUAUCAUAACGAAGAACUGGUGUUGCUCGAGAGUUAGGAAGAAUAAUUGCUGCUAUUUUGGCUAUUAUUAAUAGAUGUUGUUUUGGCUAUUAUUGAGGUGUGCCUUACGAAAUGAAUGGAAUUAGGAGCUUUGUUUUUCAAGAUAGAGGAGCUGAGUCAUGUGGAAGUGCAAUUAUAGGACAAAUUGAGAAGGCUGUUGUGUUUGUGAUGGUUACUGUGCUUGGAGUCCACAAUGGUGGUGAUCGUGAUCAUACUUGAAGAUAUGGAGAAUUGGAUUUACUUUAUUGUCAAGGGAAGUUGGUAAUUAUAGAUUUUGGUCAAGAACUUUUCUAUGGUGAGCAGUGAUGGUCUUAAAGUUUAUUUGGCAAUCCGGCUAGAGCAUGAGAAUAUGUAAUUUGGUUGAGAGUAACAUUGGGUGUCCUUGGUAGUUUUCAAGGACUUGAUCACAUUGAUUUGAAGUGAUCCGCCGACUUUCUCGGAAAGAGGAUUUGAUACGAGGAUCGAGUGCGAGUUGCAAGAUUCCAGAAGCAGAAGGAUAAGGAUUUCAGAAGCGUGUUGCAAUGUUACUAAUUUUAAUUGGCGUCGAAGCUAGCGCUUGGAUUUCAGGUAGGGUCUUUCUCGGGGAACCUUUAUUUAAAUUGAUAAUUAGAUUAUUAAUGAAAUUGUUGGUUUGUGUGGCAUUGAUUGAUAACUCUUGAUUGUUGAUUGUUAUUGUUUUCCUUAAAAGCAUGUGUAAUCGUUGAUUUAUAUGAUUGAUGUUAUUGCUUUCCUUAAAAACAUGUGUUUGAUAUUAUUAUAUUACGCGUAUCGAUACUUGAUUGCAUACAUAAUGCAUUGUGAGGAAUUGUGAGGAUAAUGAGAUUAGUGAUUAUGGAGAGAAGUGAAUGAGAUCGAUAGAAUAGAUACAUUUUGUGUAGUUGAGUUUCCUCAUGGGGACUUCCAGUAGCUAUGAUCAGCCCACUUGCGCAAAUGAGUUGGGAAAGUAUGCCCUUUCGACGUAUGAGUCGAUAAAACAAUCUUUCGGGUUUCGGGACUGUGGACCAUGAAGGUUAACAAAAGACUAACAAAAGAGAUACUAGAGUUUAUAUAUUACUGAUUUGUUAGGUCGUAUAUUCGAGACAAUCUACACGGUAUGAGACGUGUAGGUACAUUUGUCUUGGGUGUAUGGACUAAUUAGCCAGUAAUAGAGUGGAGAGAGUGCAUUAGCAUUUAUGCAUCAUUUUUGUCGUUAUUUAUUUAAAGUAUUGUUGGAUGCUUGAUAACUUGGUUGUUUAACAUAGUUAAGUAUAACCUAAAGAGGUUUGGCCCUACUGAGCGUAAGCUCACCUCUAUAGAUUUUUGUUCAGGUGUACGAGUACGACACGUAUUUCUAGAAGACUAACUGUGAAGUUAGCUUACGUGUACAAAAGUCGAGAAGUACGGAAGAUUAGAAGUGAGCUAGACCUUAAGACUUAUUUUGUUUUUGUAAUUAGUUUUGUUAUUUGUAAACGUUUUAUUUUCUUUUAUUUUUACAAUUUCUAGAAAAGUAUUUGAAAUUGUUUUAGUUUCUUUUACUUUUCCCGCUCAAGUCUCGGGUUUGGCGUCAGGUGCUUGGAAACCACCGACACCGGGUUCGAGGUGUGACAAGAACACUAGAUCGAGGCACACAACCCCCUAACAUCUACCUCUCCACCAACACUGCAUUUAGAUCUCCAUUGCUUCCCAAUCAAAACGGAACUGCAACUGACACUUCCAUUCACUUCCUAGCCAAACCAGACACCAAGCCAAGAUGGUAGAAAGAGGCUAGGGCAAACAAAAGCAUCUGCCGGCGUUCUUGCCGUUGCGUCUCGGCUGGGAGAAGAGCAACUCUCUCUCUAGCUUUUUCUUUUUGCUGGCUCGUUCUAGGCGCGUGGAAGAAGAAGAGGGAUGUUCCUCUCGGUGUUAGGAUGUUAUCCUGAAUGACCUUACCUGGUGCAAAGGCACCUUGGUUCUUCAAAAUGUAUUUUUUUAAAAGUGGUCUUAAGCGCUUAACUAUGAUUUUUUGUGAUAAUUUUGUAGGUGACAUUACACAGACUAAUUGGCCUAAAUCGAGAAACAAACUUCUCAAUCUUAGGGAUUAAGAGCAUCUCUAACAACUUUCCCAUUUUCUUGAUUUUAUCAAUUUUAGAGAAUAUUGGGUUGUUUUGUGGUCCAAUUUCCUCAUCUCAUUCCCUAAAAUGGGGAUGGAGAAGAAAGAAAAGCACUUCUUCCCCAAAUUUGUAGCAAAGCCUUUUUUCCCCAAAUAUUAAUUAUUUACGUGUUCCAACGAUAAGAACAAAAAUCUAGAAUAUUUUAUUGUGUAAUUUAUGUUAAAAUAAAAUAUAUGAUUUUUUUUUUGUUAUUAUUAAUAAUCAUGUAACAUAUUUUAUUGUUGUAAUAAAUGCUGAAAUCUCUAAAAUGGAGAAGCUGUUGGAGUUGGAGCAUAAUUUUUUUAGAGAUUUUGGCUUUUGUUUUCCUAUUUUAGAGAAAUUUUAAGGAAGCUGUUGGAGAUGCUCUAAGGCAAUAUUAGUAUGGUUGAUAUCAUUUAAAGGGAAGUUUUUUGAGAAAAAAAUAUUUAAUCCAAGAUAUAGUCUUGGUCAUUACAAAUUUCAUUACUCAUUGAGUGGUACCGGUAGCAAUAACAAGUCUUAUACAAACGGAAGGAUUCGUUUAUCUCAAAGUCCAUUACUUUGUACAUGGUAAUGAAUCCAGAGAUAUACCAGUUUCACAAAAAACAGAUGCUACUGACACUGAAGCUGUAAAUUCAUAGUCCUAUACUAUGUCGGAGUUGUUGGAAUUGUCGUGAAUAGCUGACGUUUAAUGUUACUUUCGUGUCCUAAAACAUAUAGGGUAUGUUUGUUUGUUUCAAGGGACUAUCUAACCUAGGCAUAUUUUCUUCAUUAGUCAUGCACUCCAUAAGCUUGCCUUAUGCUAUAGAUGCCUUAACCCAUGUUUGGUACCAGAUCACUAUAAUUAAAACCAACACCAUCGACAACACCAACCUGCAAAAUCUUCACCAUCUCGGGUCAUCAAUUUCAUACAUCAAUCAUCUUCUUUAUGCUCAAUUCAUGUAUGACUUCUCUUGUCCCCCAUAAUAUAUAUGAACAAGAUAGAAUAAGAUCUAGUGUUAUCCAUCAAUUCAAUUUCUUGUUUUGCUGCUACUGCUGCAACUAAUAAUCAAUUCAGACGAAGACAAGUUGAAGAAGAAUUGUCGACGAGAUAUUUUUCAAUCAAUUGGACAAUAAUUGGUGGUUUACAUGGUUCUGCGACCUACGAUCCGUUCUUCAAUCUUGACCCAAAAACCCUGCAAAUCAGCGAUAAUCCGUAGAUAUCACGUAGUCUCUCGGUCUCUCCUAUGCUUGAUAGAAAACCCAAACGGUGACAACGAAAAGACCAAACACUCAAAAAGAAAGUAACUCAAACACUAGCGUCGUUUGUUUGUACUGUACCUACUUGUUCUGUGACUUGUGUUUUCUGUCUCGCCUCUCUACCUUUUCUUUUCGAUAUACACUCGAUCUCUCUGCGACCCACAACCGAUUUCAAAUGGCUGGAGCAACUUCGACUACCUACUUGUCGUCCCCUACAACCCGGAAAUUAAUUCAAGUCACUCAUAUUCCAAAACGGCGACGUCGAUUGGGUGCGAACCGAUGGCCAUGCAUGAUUUCCACCAAUGCAGACCUGCCUGUAACCCUUCCCCUCUCUCUCUCUCUCUCUCAAAGUUCCUUUAUUCUUUGUUUCUACAUUUAGUUUGGCACUCUUGAUUUAUGGCUAGCUAUUGUUUUGAAUUCAGAGAACUGAGCUUUAUGGGUUUAGUUUGGUUUGAACUGCAUCGUUUUGUUUACGUCUUUCUUACGUACAAUGUACUGCUCUAUGACAUUUAGCUCUUACUGGGUUGCUUUCUUAAAAUAUACUGUUUUUCUAUACUAGCUAACAUUGGUUGUUGAGUGUGCUUUUGCCUUGAACAUUAUUGGGGUUCAAAGUUUUUCCCUGUUUGAUUGUUGAUGGUAGGUUGUUAGAUGUCCUUUACUAAACACGAAACAAGUGUACUUCUUACGGAUGUUUUGUUAUGAAGUUUUUUGCUAUGAGAAUAUGUGAUAGAAAGAGAGAUAAUAGCACUACGUGUUUGCAAUUGUAUGGUUUGAGUAUGAAAAUAUGGUGAAAAUCCUUGUUAAUAAACCUGAAUUGGAUAGUUAUAAGCUUGACUACAUUUGAAAUAGGCGUUCCUAGUGAAUUUCUAUAGGUUCUUCGUUCUCGUGACCUCUUUACAGAAAUGUGCUCAUGGACCUUGUUUAUAUUGUCUUAUCCCUUCUAACUAGAGUUUGUAUCUAUACUCGUAAGAAGGUAUGUGUUUAGAAACGGACUCUUUUUUGAAACUCAAGGGAAUUUUACAAAUCCCUGUUCUCUUCUGUAAAUGGAUUACUGUAAACUAAAAUUUGCUCAAUUUCUAUGUCGUUGUGUGGUUACAUUAUUACGCACUUAAAGAAAUUCAAGUUUGUUGGUAAUUUAUAGUUUUCAAGAUUGGUGUUGUAAAUGCUGUUGCCCGGUCUGCGUAUGCAGAUCGAAUUCGGAAAUACCAAGGUCAUUGUUUCUGUGUGGGUAUAUCUUUUAGAUCCAUACUUUUACUGACUCAUCAAUUCAUAAUCGUGAUCAAUAAAUUUCAUAAUCCGUUGAGUUGCCUUUCCGCUGUUUUUACUUUUGAACUUUAGAUUGAUCCCUCAUGGCUCAUGCAAAUAUGAGAUGUAUUUAAACUUUACUUUUGGUUUGUUUAGAUUUGAGCCAAGAGAGAGUAAGAAGGCAAUGUUGUACAGUGAUAUACUGAUAUAGGCCGGUUGAAUUCUAAUGUGACUUGUACAACUUUGGAAAGGUAUAUGAUUGUGUUAAUGCAUCUUAUGAUAAUUUUUUGUUAGUCUUCUUUCCCAGUGACAACGAUGUGACUAAUGUUUGGACCGUGUUGUUUUAGGGGUCAAACCACAAAGAGUUUUCUUCACUGCUUCAUAUAGCUUUAGAGGGUGCAAUUUUGCUGGAAACUUUCCCCAAGACUACUGUGGAUGUCUUUGCAUUGGUGUUUGAAUCUGAAGGCAGUAAGCUUUUCAACUUAAAUUUUGUUUAAUUUAUUUUACGUUGAUAAGAAUGAUGAAAAAGAAAAUGACAAGAGAAGAGAAGAGAGUUUAAAUUGAUUUUCUUCAUUGUACGAGAAUAGUAGAAUACUACACUAGCAAGAUAUUUAUAUUGCUCGAAACUGAAUACUGGCGAUGUUGCCUUUUUAUUUUUAUUUUUUUUAUUUAUAACUUUUUUUAUUAUAAACUCACGCACCCUACAUACGUCGGUGAGGUUUGAAUCUAUGACCUCAACAUUGUUGGUUAGCCUACCUAACCAACCAAGCCACAGCUUACCGACCUGGCGACGUUGCCUUUGAGUAUACGAAUCUUACUUUGACUCAAGUUUGGUUUACGGUUUACCAAGAUUUUGUUGUUAGGGAAAGUUUAUGCGUUUGGAAAUUAUCUCAUUGCUAACUAGCGCUGUUACGUUAAAUGAAUUGAAGAGCUUUAUAUUUGUUAGAGUUAGUGGUGUUAAAGUUGUAACUAUAUAGAAAAGUCAUCUGUACGAAUCUGUUGAUACCCAAAAAAUCAAUAUUUAUGCUCAAUAGAUAUUCCAAGCUCAAUAAAGAAAUACGCAUGAAAAUCACAUUCGAAAUAAAAAAAAUUAUAUAUUUAUUCGAAUAUUCAUGCCACGCACGGGGACUCAAGCCACAACCACGUUUUUGGGGCUUACAAAUUUAGGUGUGGUGUGGAAGGUAACAGAAGUACACGAAGUCCAUUAUAGAUGUUACAUCAUUGGCGGUUUUGGACUUGGGACCGAAACCCAGGCCUAAUAAUGUAAAUAUUUAUAUGGGCAUGCAAAAAAGAGAGAAUCCUUAAUGCAGUAGAUUACACCGCAACAGACCUUUAGCCGCAGCAAGCCUCUCAUCUUUUGCAACUCAUGUGCUUCCAGCUCCCACGCUUUAUGCCUUCUUGCAAGCUCUUUCAUGUAUUUUGUUUAUUUGUCAUGUUAUCAAAAUCACGCCAAGUUACUGCCAAUAUAUCACAAGAAGCAUGCCACUGCAGCAAGUUACUGCAGGGAGACCGGGGAAAACACGCACAAACCUCCUAGAAGCUUUGGGCCCAGUUCUUGAACUUAGAGGGGUAAAUAGAGGAGAUCAAUCUAAUCUAUCAAUCCUAGCGGUCUCGGUUCAAAAUGACCCCAACAAAAUCGUACUAAAUCAGGAAGUGAUUGGGGAAUUGAAGCCAAAUACAAGGACAAUAUCAAUGUUAUAGAAUCAUUGUUGCAAUUGUGCCAUUCACUGUGUCAUUUUUUGUACCACAUAGUCCCUACAACAAUUCUAGUGAAUGUAAGAAUGAUAUUGGUAUUAUGAAGGCUGAUGGGCUAUGUCAUUUUGCUUGCAGGUGAUCUUCCUGUGGUGAUAUCAUGUGCUAGUCUUGCACUAAAGCAGAUGCAGGGAUCAUGAUGUAUGACCUUGUUGCUUCAGUAUCUGUGGUAUGUAUCUGGGUAGACAUCUGGCCCUUUCAACUUCCUCAUAAUUAAGCAAAAAACAAUAUGUUGUUGCUGACUGUCCUAUUGUAUUUCUUUGUAUAGGAUUAAGAAUUUGAACUUGAGCACAUAUGAAAUAAUGGAAGUGUGAUGGCUGAUUGUCGUAUUAUUUUAUUUUUCUUUGUUUUUUGUUCGGUUAUUCAGUUAAAUACCAUUAUACAAAACUUUUGUUAAGCUGUAUCCUUUCUGUUUCAUCCGAUUAGCUAGUACUGUAAAUUACUUUUGUUAAGCUAUAUCCCUUUUGUUUCAUCCGUUAUAUAGAAUUAUAUCCACUGAAAUACCUUCAUUUUUAUGAAACAAUGUAUUGUAUUCGAUGAGAACAGAAGAGAGAAAAGAAGAGCAUUAGGUAUGCAUCAAGCUCUUCUCUGAGCAUUUGUUUGGUUACACAAAAUUUUCACUGUCGGAUACAUUUCGCAAAAAUCUUCCUAGUCUCCACUUGCCUUCUAGAUCCCUUCCCUGCCGAGAUUUCCCUUCACCGCAUAGAUUUCCCUUCGUCAUUGCGCUCUUAAUCAGAGCCUACACUACCAGGACAAGCACUUUAGCCGACGAAAAAUUUUCGUCGGCUUGUUAGCUUAAUUCGUCGGCUAAGAUUUCGUCGGGAAAAGGUCGUCUGUGACGACUUUAGCCGACGAAAAAAAAUUUUCGUCGGCUAUAGUCCCGCAGUUUAUCCGACGAAAAACAUGUCGUCGGUUUUUUUCCCAGACUUUAGCCGACGAAACAAUUAAGAUAUUCGUCGGCUAAAGUUUGUAAAAAAANNNNNNNNNNNNNNNNNNNNUUUUUGGAGCUCGAUUUUAUCUCUCACGGCGGCGUCACUCGAUGCACCACCUGUCCAGCAAUGAAGUAGAGACGACGGCGAAGCUUUUGGGACAAGUGUGGCGGUCUCCGGUGGCUUGACGGCGGAGCUAGGCCGAGAAAAAAAUCUAGUAGGCGAAAUAGACUUCUUACCAUCCAUCUUCGGUAAAACUCCUAUAUAAAGAACUUUAGCCGACGAAAUUCUUUAUUUUCGUCGGCUAAACUCUUUUGAAACUUUUGAAAAUUUUGAAAAUUUUGGUUGACCGCCAAAAAAUUUUGAAAAUUUUUCAACUUUAGCCGACGACUUUUCAUAUAUUUUCGUCGGCUAAAGUCCUUUGAAAAUUUUCCUCCAAAUUUGGUUUACCGCCCAAAAUUUUUUGACCUUAGCUGACGACUUUUUUAAUAUCUCGUCGGCUAAAGUCUAUAAAUUCACAAAAACGCUCAUAUCUCCCUCUAUAUUACGUAGUUUGGUCAAACCUUCCACACGAAAAACUUUCACAUAGAUGAGACGCACCGCCUAUAUAAAAAUUUUGAGACAUUUGUCUUCCGACGAUAGGGCUCCCCAUAGGGAAUAAUAACGGUAAAUAGGGUUGACCGCUACUAUCGGCACCGAGAUUUUACCCGAUUUACGUGAUUUUUGAACCAUAGCCGUAUUUCACCAUUCUGAACACAUCUUAUUUCACGAGAUUUUUGAUAAUUUUGCUUCCUAUACAGAGUUGGUUCACAAAGUUGUAUAACCAACUAAACAAGUUAUACAACAUUAGUAGACACGUUGUGAUUCCGAUGACUAAAAUUCACAAACCAAAAUUCGACCGUCAGAUAUGAUCAUUAUGACGAAAGAUGUUUAUGGUAAAAAAUUUAACUGGAUCCGACAACGUUAAGGACUCGAUCGAAACGGUUAACCCUAAUCCAUCGUCACUUAUCACACGAAAACGCUCAUAUCUCCCUCUAUAUUACGUGGUUUGGUCAAACCUUCCACACAAAAAGCUCUCACGUAGAUGAGGCGCAACUGCCCAUAUAAAAAUUUUGAGACAUUUACCUUCCGACGAUAGGGCUCCCCAUAGGGAAUAAUAACGGUAAAUAGUAGACACGUGAUUCGGAUGACUAAAAUUUACAAACCAAAAUUCGACUGUCCGAUAUGAUCAUUAUGACGAAAGAUGUCUAUGGUAAAAAAUUCAACUGGAUUCGACAACGUUAAGGGCUCGAUCGAAACGGUCAACUCUAAUCGGAAAUUAGAAAACUGCAUUUUGAAGCCCUAAACGGACUCGGAUGGCCAAAAAGGCCCAUACAUCAUGGCGUUAGAAAUGAGUUUGACUCGUAGGGCCGUUACGCUUCCGGUAAGGUAUCACAAUAGUCAAUCGGACACCAAAAACCAAAUCUGCAGCAUAAUGAAUAAUAAGAGUAAAUUACAUUGACCGCAACUAUCGGCACCGAGACUUUACCGGAAUACUGUGAUUUUUCAACUGUAGACGUAUUUCACCAUUCUGGUCAUAUCUUAUUUCACGACUUUUUUGUGUUUGAAGGUUUUACGUAUAGUUUUUUUUUUCCAGAUGAGUUGUUGUCCAGAUCUGUAAAUAUAAGGCACUUUAGCAGAUGAAAUUAAGGCACUUUAGUCGACGAAAUUAUAUUUUUCGUCGGCUAAACUUUUAAAAAUUUAGUCGGCUAAAGUUCACAGACUAUAGUCGACGAAAAAAAUUAUUCAGACGACGAAAUUUUAAUUUUGUUGGCUAAAGUUGACCAUAGCCGACGAAAAUUUUUAAUUAGCCGACGAAGGGAAAUUUCGUCGGCUAAAGUCUACUUUAGCCGACGAAAAAAUAAUUCGUCGACCUGGUUUUUUUAUUUUCGUCGGCUAAAGUCUUUCUUCUGGUAGUGCUAGGUUUUGUGCUCUAAAUAUGAAACAAAAUUGAGAGAGAGAGAGAGAGAGAGAGAGAGAGAGAGAGAGAGAGAGAGAGAUCACAUUUGUUUGAAAUUUCUGAUAUUUGUAAGAGUACUUCUUUCAUUAGGUUUUGGACGAGCUGACGGCUCGUGACUAUUAGUUGGCCGUAUAUGCUACGAAAAUUGUCUUACUAGUGGUAAAAACACCUAAUAAAAAAAGUCCUUAAAAAUUAAAAAGAAACUUAUUUAAAAAUUUAGACCCUCAUAAUUGCAAACCACACAUAGAUGUGAACUUGUGCGAUUAAUCCAUCAUCACAAUCAUGUAAUCUUUGAUAAAAGCAGUCUUCUAAUCCUUAUGUUUCGGUCAGCUGCCUAUGCUUAUGAUUGAUGAGUUGGACAGAGCCUUAGACAAAUUAACAUUAGUGAAAAGCCAUUGCACGUAUGUGUGUACAAAUUAAAACUAAAAGAUCGAUAUACUUGAAUACUCUCAAGAAUCGAAAACGUAAAAUGCAAUAGAAAUGUUAUUAAUUAUUUCGAUCUUACCACAACAUACAUUGCAUAACAAUGAAAAUUCAUAGCAGUUUGGGUAACUUGUCGAGGAUACCGAUGAAAACAAAAUCUUUCCAAUAUCAUUUUAUGUUAUAUUAUUGAAACAUAAAAUGAGUGUGGUCUGUAAUUAUAUAGAGCCCUCGUAAAUUCGUAAUUAUUGGAGCGUAAAUUCAAGUAUCCCUUUUAAAACGUUUUGGGAAAUUUCAUAGAGAAAAAAAAAAAAAGUCGCAAGUACAAGAAAUUGAAAGAAAGGAGGGAAGGAAGAAAAAGUCAUGGGGAGCGCAAAACGAGUCUAUCCAACUGCCAUCAAAACAACGAGGUGGAGCUGGCCCACAGGUUUGAACGGUCAAACAAGACUGUUGAAAGUUGAAAAUCCAGACAUAAAUUUUUUGGGCUCUUGUGUUUUGAGUUUUUGACUCUCUCUCUCUCUCUCUCUUCUUCAGACAAAACCAACCCAACCGGCAACCCCAACCCUCUUGUAAUCUCUCCUCCACAUUUCAAUUCCAAUCCCUCUCUCCCCUCUCUCUGUCUCUCCUUGUUCGUUCAACUACUGGAAUCACCUUUGACGCUUUCUCCCAUUCAUCUCUGAUCAACGGCUCAUGACACACCGUCACGGCCACGCUUUCAUUUCCACAAACCACCUGUGACCCGAUCGGUAUGUCUCGAUCUCACGCUUUCUUUUCGUUUUGUUCGUUUUACUUUUCCGGCCACCGCUUACGUGUUUUUUCUUUCCGAUUGUGCUGAAUACUUUCACUCUUCAUAUGUAUUGUAUAUACAUUUUUGAUAAUUGAAUUUUUUCUUCUGCUUGUGUCAUGAUUGGUUACCAUUAAGGAUUAUUUGAAACAUAUUUUUGCUGCUUCUGUUUGAUUUCUCGGAAGUCGCUGCGCGUGUUUUGUGCUUGCUCAGUUUUCAUGAGUUCUAAUUUUUCAUUUAAUAUAUGUUGUUUUAAUUGCACCUUUUGUUGUCCACUACGCUCCCGGAGGAUUCGAUAAGUCUUCAAUCUAACCCUUCAUUUUUAGCACUAUUGAACUAUGACUUUCUCUUGAAACAAUUUUGUAUUAGAUAUUUUUUCUGGUGUUAAGAAUCUUUUUGUGUAAUGUUCAUACAACUUGAAUGUUGUUCCAUCUUGGUUUAUGUAUAUUUGACGAUGGCAAGUUGUAUCAUGUUGUUAUGUAUCAUUUUGGUUUAAAGGAGUUCCUGUUGUUUAAUGCUAAUAUGUUCAUAUGUUUUCUGUUGGUCACUAGGUCAGCCAUUGAUUUUUUUAAUUGAGGCGACAAAAGGAAUCUAGAAGACAAGUAUCUCAGUUCUUGAUUGUGCUCAUGGCCUCUGUAAGUGUGGCUCCUGCAUCUGGAUUAAGAGACCGCAGUGGAAAUACAGUUGCUCUCGACAGUUUGCCGAAUGAGAUGAAUGACAUGAAAAUUAGGGAUGACAAGGUUAGCAAUUCCCACUCAUUAUUCUGCCUCAAUAUUUGUCAUUGGAAUGUUUCUUUUGAAUAAAGUCUCCUCCUAGAUUGUGAAAUCUGAAAGUAAUGUUUUUCUUUUGACAGGAAAUGGAAGGAACUGUUGUUAAUGGUAAUAGUACCGAAACAGGUCAUAUAAUUGUCACAACUAUUGGUGGAAGAAAUGGCCUGCUGAAACAGGUGACUUUUUUGUAUGAUUUCUGUUCGUAGCUUAUGUACAGAUGCCUUUUGUUCUGUUUACUUAAAUUGAUUCUGGUAUACUUUCCUUUUCGAUGACUGUAGACAAUAAGCUAUAUGGCUGAGCGUGCUGUUGGACAUGGAUCUUUUGGAUUGGUUUUCCAGGUAAUUUUUUAAUUACAGUGGUGUGGAUUAGUUUAAUUUCAGUGACCUGUGUGAAUUGUUUCCUAACUUAGAUUUCAUUAUCAAAAUUCACCUCGUGAAAUUGCUAUUGUAAUGUUUUUAUCCAGGCCAAGUGUUUAGAAACUGGAGAAACUGUUGCUAUUAAAAAGGUUCUUCAAGACAAAAGGUACAAGAAUCGGGAGUUGCAAACCAUGCGUCUUCUAGACCACCCCAACAUUGUGUCUCUUAAACAUUGUUUCUUUUCCACAACUGAAAAGGAUGAGUUAUACCUUAACCUUGUUCUUGAGUAUGUCCCUGAGACUGUCCAUAGAGUGAUCAAACAUUAUAGUAAGAUGAACCAGAGGAUGCCGCUGAUUUAUGUUAAACUCUAUUCUUACCAGGUAUGCUUUUGCACAAGUUUAAAUUGUUUUAUGCCCUUCUCAAAAAAGAAGAAAAUUAAAGAAAAAAGAAUGAAGAGAAAUGUCUAUGGAAUACACAUUAUAUGAAUUUAGAGUGUUUUUUACUCUUUCUUUCUUUUUUUUUUUCAAAUGUUUUGUUGAACAUAGUAAAUACAAAAUAUGUUUAAUGGAAUUGGUAAUGCGCUUAAUGAAAAUGGAUAUUACUCUGGCAUUUUAUUAGCUGUUAAAUCUUGUUAUUAAUGUGCUGUUACAGAUUUGUAGAGCACUUGCUUACAUUCACAACACUAUUGGAUUGUGCCAUAGAGACAUAAAGCCUCAGAAUUUGUUGGUAAGUUGAUAUUAGUGAUGUAUUAUACCUUAAUUUUAUGUGAAAUGCAUAAACAAGUCAAUUGAUCAUCUAUCCACAUUCCCACAGGUCAAUCCACAUACUCACCAGCUUAAAAUCUGCGACUUUGGUAGUGCAAAAAUCUUGGUUUGUUUUCUGCACUGAGGCAUUUUCUGAAUAUUCUCUUAUUCUGGCUAAUUGUCAUUACACUGAAUUGGAUGUACAUGUGACAGGUAAAGGGGGAACCCAAUAUUUCUUACAUAUGUUCAAGAUACUAUCGAGCACCUGAACUUAUAUUUGGUGCAACAGAGUAUACCACAGCCAUUGACAUCUGGUCUGCUGGAUGUGUUCUCGCUGAACUUCUCCUCGGACAGGUUGGAGUUGUUCUCCUUUUAAGCUAAUUUGUUCUUUCAUUCGACUCAUUGAUGUAAAAUAUGGUAUGCUAAUUAUGAGUUACCUGUUUGUUCCAGCCUCUAUUUCCUGGGGAAAGUGGAGUAGACCAGCUUGUUGAAAUCAUUAAGGUAAUUUAGAGCUUUGAAUUAAUUAUCUCCAUUUUAAAGUCUGUUAGAGAAUGGAUGAUAGGAAAGUGAUUUAAUUGUUAUUCUCAUAACGAUUUAUCCUACUGUUUUGUAGGUUUUAGGCACACCAACGAGGGAGGAAAUUAAAUGCAUGAACCCUAAUUAUACAGAAUUUAAAUUCCCCCAAAUUAAAGCUCAUCCAUGGCACAAGGUACUUGGACUGUCACAUGUGGUUUAUUUAGUUCCAAGAAAUUUGCAUGAUAAUAUUCUUUUUAUAUAAUUAUUCACCAGAUAUUCCACAAGCGCAUGCCCGCUGAAGCCGUGGAUCUCGUAUCAAGGCUACUUCAGUACUCUCCAAACCUCAGAAGUACAGCUGUGAGUACUUUUUAUCAUAUCCAUGAUUUUAGGCUGUAUAUAUUUGAACUCAUUUUAUAUCUCCAAAGGUUUCAGUAUAUCCAAAGAUAAAAGAAAAGAAUGAACAUUAUAGCUCUAUGUCUGACAAAAGCCAGUUGUUUUAGGUUGUGUUAUAUCCUCAAAUUAUGAAAUGCCCAUUGUUUCUAUUUUGCAUGUGCAAUCCCAUGUGUAGUUGAUUAUAUCAUUAUUUGUCUGUUCUAAAUUAUCUAUGGUGUUUACGAGGAGCAUGUGCCUUUGAGAUUAGUUUUGAUAAGAAACCAGUUUUAGUGAGCUUGAGCCUUGCAUGGUACUUUGUGUGCUCAAAUCUUGUGUUCAAUGUUUUUUUUUUUUUUUUUUUUUUUUUUUUUUGGAGGCCUUGGUUCAUCCCUUCUUUGAUGAGUUACGGGACCCUAAUACCCGCCUGCCAAAUGGACGUUUCCUUCCCCCACUGUUUAAUUUCAAGGCUCAUGGUAAUAAUCAUUAUAGAAACUGUGAUUUUCGACAUUGAUUUUAUUGGAUGAGAUGUUUAAGCCUAGUUUGUAACUUUUGUUGGUGCUCUAUUCUCAUUCACUAGAACUCAAGGGAGUACCUGCAGAGAUGAUUGUCAAGCUGAUCCCAGACCAUGCAAGAAAACAGUGUGCCUUCCUUACGUCGUGAGUGUUCUUUACUUGAUGUUUUCCCUGCCCAGAUGAAAAACAAGGUCUGCUCUCCGUAAUGUGAUUGUCAUAUAUAAGAAGCAAUAUUAUUUAAAUCCUUCAUUUGUUCCCUUUAUUUGUUGUUUGUAGAGGUAGAAAGCCAAAUUAAGAAGGCUCUGCUUAUCAGAUGCUUUAAAUCUCACUGUGUUUACCUAUGUAGGAUUCCAAGUUAAAGUCCUUGUAAACCACAUGAGCACUGUUACCAGCAAAAUGUAAAUUUGCAAUGUUAACGGAUUUAAUGAAAAAUGUUUUCUUUGUGGAAAAAUGUUCAGAUGUGUUUCGUAUGAUUGUGUAUAUUUGAUCUAAUGUUCAGGUAUGUCAACAGUUGUUGCUUUAUAAAUUCAUAAACAUGAAAAUGGAUGGAAACAGUAAAGAAAGAUAUUAGGGUAGCCGCGGAUGAUGUUAGGUGAAAUUACAGUUAUUCCAUUACCUUAUUCAUGAAAAGAGAAUUUUAGGUUGACUUGCUGUUGUAAAGAUUGGUAAUGUUGGAGAAAUUGUAUGGUAAUUGUGAGGGAAAAUGAAUUUCUUGGGCAUAUACCCACUUUUUCUCCUCUUUAGAGAAAUUUGUUCAUCUUGUUGUGUUGUUAGCAAGGAUUGAAAUAUCGGUAUCGGUAUAUUUAUCGAAUAUAUCGAAGAUAUCCGGCAAAAAAUAUUGAAAAUUAGGGAAUACAUUUUUUUUUUCUGAAAUUUAUUAGAUUUACAUAUAAAUAUUACAAAAUUACAAACAUCAACUUUAUCUACAUCUAAAAAAAGACUCUAGAUGGUUGAAAAGACGCACUAUGGUCUCUCACUCCACAUCCAGAUAUCCCUUGAGGGGAAUAUUCAUUUUCCAGAAAUCACUUGAGAGUCGUGACCCUCAUUCUUCAUUGUGAUAAUGUGAUAUACCUCAGCGGAAUUACUUCUCUCAUUUUUGGAGGUGAUUUUCUUUUAUGCCCAAAAAUUUUACAGAUAUCUUUUUGAUAUGUAUCGGAGAUAUAUCGUAAAUAUCUUAAAUAUUGGAAAUAUUUGACGGAAUCGAUGAUAUAUCGGAGAUACGGUGGAAUAUAAGAUAUUUACAUCUCUAGAUAUAUAUAUCGAGAGAUAUAUCGGAUAUAUCACAGAGAUGUCAAUACGGUGGAAUACAAGUGUAAGCACCAACCACAUCCGUGAAUCAAACAUGUCAUACUGUCAUAGUGCAUGGAACUUAGCCUUUCGGGUUCAUGUAUCGUACAUGUGAGAUUUCAUAGUCAAAAGAUACUGAUUUCUUAGAGAUCAGCAUAAGAUUCAAGACAAAUCAUUUAUCAGAUAUCCAAGUGUAGUAUUUAGGUUUUUUUUUGACUGGAAGUGUAGUGUUUAGGUUAUUAUUUUUCUGCAACACAUGUUUUGAAAUGCUGGAAUUUGGUCUCUUAGUUGGUUAAAUUUUAUUUGUGACAAGGAUUUGGUAUGUUGGUUGGUAAAAUUAGAACAAAUGGAACCAUGGCAUGAAGGAAUCAAUAACAAAUUCACUAAAUUGGGACUUUGGGAAAGGAGGCUGUCUAAUGGGGCGGCCGGCUGGGGAUGACCAAAUGAAGCAGACUUACAAUAGUCGGCCAUAUUUUAUCACUUAGAGCAAAUCUUUGAUGAACUCAGCUUUGUAAAAUUGUAAUUGCUUUUGUAUGAUAGACCGCCCCACACAGAGUUGUAAACUAAAGUUGUUACCCCAUUUCUCAUUUUUGCUUUGGACCACCGAAUCAUUUGAAUCAUUUCAGGGAUAUAUAUUUCAGGUAGAAAGAAGAUAAGAAGCUGAAGAGAAUCCCAAACCACAAACAGUGACCUACACCAUUUUUGGUCGACGGAGGAGCUACCCGAGUGGACAUCACAGAUUCACAAGGACGGUAACUUAUCAGCCUAGUCACCGCCACUACAAUAUUGUCGUUGAAAGUUUAAAUUUCUCACUUAAUUAAAAAUGCGACAACUUUGAAUUGUCGCAGCCGGUUGUGCUUAAAGUGUUUUACCGAUUGUUAAAAGCGACGAAAUUAGAUGGUUUUUGUAUUUUCAAUAUACCAUGCAAUUGGUUCCUAUCAUAUGACAUAUUGCGAGACACGUAAGUGUGUUCCCACAAGUCAUAUACAAGACUUCAUAGUUGUUACAAUUUGUAAUUUACAAGGUUUUGUUUGCGUCACAUAUUUAAACUGCGAGGUGUUUGUUGCAUGUUCAAUAUGUGACGUAAUUGGUUCCUCACAUAUAUUGAUAUAUAUAGACAACAUGUAAUUCACCAAGAGACAAGCCGAUCCGCCACCUAGAUUGACAAUGCGACGCCACAAACACACAAGCUGAGACAAGAUCUCAUCAACAUAAGCCACCGACUAAGAACGGGGUUCCAAUUCCGGAUUCAGCCAAGCACAGACAGGGAAAAAGGAAUCCCGUUUACAAGCUUUUCUCGGUAGGGUAGGAAGUGACAAUGUAAUGAACGAAGCCAAUGCCUUUUGGGAUGUCUAAAUCCCCAGGCUAGCUAGCCUUAAGGGCGGGAUAUGCGUUCGUGAAAUCCAAUCAACGAAAUAAUUUGAUCUUUAGACCGCAUCCAGCACCUUCUUUGGACUUUUCCUCCUCAUUCCGCCUAAAAUCCACCCUUUUCAGCUGAUAGGUUCGACUAAAUACUCCUCCCGAUUUCUGUUUCCAAGCACCAAACUUGCCCAUCAAGAUAACAUCUCUUUCGACCACACCCAGUAGACACCAGUAAGGCCAGAAGCCUAUAUCGGCAUCGUGGUGCAGCCGGACAGGUGCGAAUGAGACUAGCGACAACGUUUAGAUUUACGCGCGCGGGAGCGCGUUCUAGAGAAUGACAUGCACUUUUGCUCAUAUGUAACCUACACUGUUUGUUUUGCUUAAUGAAUCCUUGAAUCUCUUAAUUGGGGCGUAUAGCCUAUAUUCAUUUUUCACACAUUCGGAUAAUCGCCAUAAUGUAAAGGGCAAAUCUAAGCUUCUUAGAUUUAGUAUUUGCCUUAUUUAGUGUAUUUAAUAUAUUGAUCGUUUGUUGAGAUUCGUAACUGUGAAUUUGUUUAGGUAUUGAAGUUUCAAUUAUUGUGAUUUCUUUCUGAAUGAAAUAAAAGAACUCGGGAACGUCAAUCUCUUUAGUAAUGAUUCAAUGCGUUUUCAAACUUUUGAUUUUCCACUACUACUUCUGUUAAUUAAUCUGUUAGAAAUAACUUAGGUGACCAGUUAUGGUCACUUAUGGGUGACAAACACCAAUAAGAGAUGGACAAAUAUCAACAAUAAUCAUAAAUAAACAUAUCAAAUACCUAAAACUUCCCUGUUAUGUCCUUAAAUUGCAAUCAAACAUUUUAAAAUGGACACGUGUCCCAUGUUUAUUGGUUGUGGUCACCUUAAGGUGACCAGCCCUUGUCACCGAAGUCGGGUUCAUUAAUCUAGCUUGCUAAUUUUUUUUUCUUCCAAGAGAUCAUGCAAUUCUAAUCGUUAAACAAUAACGUCACUGCAUCGAGUUAGAUAAUACUCAUAAUAGGUCAACAACAAUCGCUAAGUUAUUACUUUGUGAGAGUCAUACAAUUACUCAUCAGUAUGAGGUCUCUUCUACAAUGUGCUACAAAUUCCAUUUGCUGCAUUACCAAAUCACAUGUUAUACGUACGCUAUAUGAAUGAGUGAACUGGCUAGGAUCUGUUACAGCCUUACAGGUUAAUUAUGAAAUUCAUGCAUAUAUGGAAGAAACUAUUUUAUUAAUUAGAGUCCAUUUUGAAUAUUUGUGUCAGUAAUGAUUUCUUUUUACAAAAUAAUAAGAUUCCUUAUGGAAAGAUAAUAAAAAGGAUAAAGCUAAAAUUUAAUGACAUUAUUUUCAUUUCAAAGUAGAAGAACAGAAAACAAAGACGUUAUAUAUUGGUUUUGGGGUUAGCACUCAGAAGAAACCUGUAUCCCCUAUAAUGAACUAACACAUGUUUGGCAAUCCAGAAAUUAGCUCAAAAGAAAACAUACCAACUAGGUAUAAGUCCAUCGUUUGCAUCGACUAGUCAACUUUAUGAAAAGAUUAAUACAGCUUCAUAAUUAAUUUACACAGGGUGUGAACUUCAUGUCUUCUUAUAUAUGAAUCAAUUGCUAUAUUAUCUGUUACAUUUUACCCCAGUUCUUGUUGUUCUCAGCAGUCUUCCCAUUCUGAAUCUAGGCUAGCUUGUUUGAGUUUUCGAGUUGAACCAAACAACUUCCCUAAAUUUUCCAACUCUUGAAUAUGAGUACUACUAGUGAACAAUCGACGAGUUCAUAUUCUCCUUCCCGUACUACUACUUCUUCAAUGGAACAGGUAUGAGACUCAAAUUGUUAUUGUAUUUCUGUGUCUUUCAAUGGAACAAGUGAUGAACCAUUUUAUCAAUUUUUUCCUCGAUUAUGUUCUUCAUGAAAGUUUUCCGAUUUAGUCUUGUAGAAAAAAAAAAACAAAAUGGUACUUAUAGCCUUUAGCCUUUUAGAUGGUACUUAUAUAUGCGGGACAAUUCCAUGAACACUGAUUCCAUUUGAAUCCCUAAUUUUAACUUGAACACCUUCAUGUCAAUAUUUAUAGGAAAGAAAAAGAUCGAGGUCAUCAGUAAAUCUUAGUUUUGAUAAGUCUAUUCGUAGAGUUACAGAGGCAAUAGAUUAUUAAUGCAUGGAUGAAUGAUCCAUGCAUUAUAUGUGCAGUAUGGAGAGGUGAAUAUGAUCGAUGAUUAUAUAUUUGAAGAGUCGUAACCGUGGAUAAAGGAUGUUAAAAGAUAAAUGAUUACAUGUGAUCGGUGUAGUAAUAAAUCUUUCUCAUUUCUAAAUAACAUAGUAACGAUAGAGUGAUUACAAAAGAUCUAGUGAAACAUAAUACACAACGUAUAUUGUACGAAUUCGUAAAACAUCAUAACCUCUUCAGGGGCUUUUUUUUGUUUUUUGUUUUUGUUUUUUGUUUUAGGGAAAUGGAACAAAUUCAUUAGACUUAUAGCCAAUAACGAUCGUAAACGAUCAAUACAUGAGUAACCCUAGGACUACUCGCAUACAACAAUACAUUAUGAAUUAAAAAAACAACCUCAAAACUACAAUCCAAAAAGGUAGACAUUUAACCGACUAAAAAGCAAAUGAACCUCUACCAUACCCUAAAAGAACUUCCUCCUUCCCCAAUUAGAGGUCUCAGACCUCAAAUGGUGUACGGUGUACCUUUCAUCGAUAUGGGAGCUUGAAAGAGCCUCUAGUGCACAUACAUGGGUCUUUCCUAGUGUAAGCUCGUAACAAGCUCAACACGGAGCCUGGCAGAAAAAACUCAGAACAAGAGGGAAGGUGGGCUAAGGCCUAAGCCUACCCCAAUCCACAAUUUCCUAGAUUCCUCAUCUGGAACCCUAAUAGAAAUCUUCAGAGUUGCCCUCACGGGUUUCCACCAGAAUCCUACCGAACUCAUCUGAGCCUCAGUCUCUCGUGUUCAGGUGGGCGACCUCGAACCUCUGCUAUGAAGCAACCUAGAUAGUAGUCUUUGUCAAACAACGACAAGCGUGGCCCGUGGAUCAUCCUUGUACUGAUACUGUUCUAACUUAAUCACCUUUAAGGUGUUAGGUUUUAAUUACAAAAGACCUCGGUACAAUUAGAAAUGAUCCACCCACUUACAAGUUAUAUUUUUAUUUGUCAUUUUUCCAAUGUGAGAUCUCUCCUCUCUAACAUUUGCCCUCAUGGGCAACCUAACUUUUAGGUCUGCACGUGAAACUGAUUAACAAACUGAACCCGCCUAUGACAACCGAAAGAACCCCAAACUCCCCAAGACAAUCGAAAGAACCCCAAACUCGAAAGAACCAAACUAGGGUGAAUUCACUUUAAACUCGAAAGAACCAAACCAGGGCCAUGACCCUUGAAAGAACCAACCCGGGCUCAUUGGAGACGCAACUGGAGAGGGACCUGCUCUGAUAUUAUGUCAAACAGCGACAAACGUGGCCUAUGGAUUAUUCUUGUAUCGAUAUUGUCCAAACUUAACCACUUUUAAAGUGUUGGGUUUUAACCACAAAAGGUCUCGGUACAAUUAGGAAUGACCCACCCACUUAUUAUGAGUUAUAUUUUUUUUGUCACUUUUCUAAUGUGGGAUCUCUCCUCUCCAACAGUCUCUGCUUCCUCUGGCCUGGAUGACACUCAAAUCCUGACUAUGUCAACUUAAGAAUCAAGAUCUGAACCUAAUCUCCCUCCUCAUCAAUCAGCGCGGUUAAUCACCGGUGUGAUCACUCGAUCUCCACAACCCAGCCCCGUUGUUCUCCAAAGCAAUCCAUCAGUCUUUCAAACCUCUACUAACCCCGCAAGCCGCCGUCUCUAAGUCUUCGAACAAGAAGACUUCCUUAGCCACCGAGCCGCCGAUCCAAACCUCACCUCGAGAGCGCACCACUCUCCACCGAGUACCUCCCUAAAAUGAGGUACCAUCUGUGAAACACACCGGUCGGUGUUCACCACCGCCUAGCUCCAAAACCUAGGUUUUGGGAUCCUCGGCUCCGAAAGAGAUGGAGCGUUUAUUUUUUUUUUUCAGGGGCUUUAAGAUACCAUAUCAAGAGUUUAAUUCUUCAAUAUUGGUUAAUGUUGGGAGGGACUUUUUUUUAUAAAAAAUGUCAACCGCGACUUGUAGGACAUUUUCACACAUGAUCCCAAAAAUACCAUAGGCACCAUGAUCCAAACUAGCUAUUAUAAACAGAUGAGUAUUGUAUUGGUAAUAGAUUUUAGAUGUAGAGAGGAAGCUCUUUUCUCUUAAUAAUAAUUAAUAAAUAAAAAUUCAUAGCAAACCAGCAUUUGGUCUAUAUGCUAACUCUCUAACUUUUGCAAGAGAAUAGCUUUCACUAUUUUUGCUUAAAUUGUAUAAAUUUAUUCAUUUUUUUGUGUGUAAUCAAUCUUUUGUACUCAAACAACUAUAUAUAUAAAUUCAAAAGUAGCAAAAGUGGAGAGAACAACGAAGUGCAUUUUGAAAUUGACUAGUUAAUAAAAGUAGUAUCACCUAGUAUUAUAUAGCUAUUAUAUAUGACGUUUUUUCUCAAACAAUAUGACCUUCAUUUCCAUGGCUAAUUAACCAGCCAUGGAUGGAUCAAUGGAAAUUGCAGGUUUCAAAAGCAAUGGUGAAGGAGAGAGUGCAGCAAAAACCAGAAUGGAUUGAGGGAUUCUUAAGAGCAAAAUUCUCUGUUGCCUGUGCAACCCAUCCUUAUAUCGCGAACCCCUUAAAUAGGUACUGCAUAACCUGUAGAAUCCCAGGAUGCCAGUUCUGUAUCAGUCCUGGCAAUCGGCAUAGCGACCACGAAACGUUCCAAGUCUACAGGCAUUCCAACCGUGAUGCAGUUUUACUCAACGAAAUGCAAAAACACUUCGACUGUAGUGGUAUUCUUGUACGUACACAACUUUGAGAUAUCUGGUACGUUUCUAUUCUUUAGUUGAUAUUUUGAAUGAUGUAUUGAUAUUGUGACCGCCAUUGUUUCCAGCCCUACAAGCGUGACCGAUCGCUGGUCAUAGCACUGAAGCCUCUCCCGCAUUUAGGUGGAUUAAGCAAGUUUAUGUGCAAGACUUGUGGGAGACGAAUAAGUUACCCGUACUCAUACUGCUGCCUCUAUUGCAAGGUACGUACGUAAUGACGACUCAUGCAUCUGAUGAAUCCUAUCUGAGAUCAUCAGCUAAACUAGCAUUUGGUUGUUCUACUAACUUAACUGACGAACAAUUUGCGGAAUUUAUAUAUCUGAUUUAGAAGCUGCAUGCAGCCUAUAUGCAUUUUAAUUUCAGCUACAUAUAUGGAUUGGACUUAAUUUUAUGACUUAUAUAUUUAUAGGUGGAAGUAAUGGCGAGCAGAGUCUCAUCAUCAGCUCCUCCACUUCUUGGCGACCAGAAUAGUCCCAACAAUAGGGAAAACAAGAAGAGGGUUGCCGAACCGGACAGCUCACUUAACAGAAGAAAGGGAAAAGCUUUCCGAGCUCCAUUUUUCUGAAGUCGUACUUGCUACUUUGAGAGGAAUUACUUAACAUCAAUUUGGCUAGUCAUUCUAUGUUCAUGUUUAAUUGACUAUAAUUUGCUAUAUAUUUCUUGAAACACCAAGCUCAUAUUAAAAUUAUGGCCUGGAUUCAAGGCAAGUUUGUGGUUGAUUUUUCGACUUUUGGAUCGUCUGUUUCGGCUAAGAAUAAUACAUGAUAGACUACUCUAUUGCAGAUGCUAACGCUCUCUAUACUAAAAAGAGUAACUUGCCUCGUAGGCAUGGCAACUAUUGUUUAUCUGACACUAAAUGCUGAACAUGCAAGCAAUUAAUUGUGGUAGGCUAAGCCAAAUUUACCAUAUAUCUAUUUUUGGUCGAAUAUUCACAUAACUAAAUCCACUUUUUCACAGUAUUGUUCAUAAUUACUGUUCACGUGAACAAUGUUUUCUCAUCUCAUAAAGAAAAAAAUGUUUCAUAUCUUGCCAUCUCUGUUGAUUGCUGAAUUUCUGUACAUACCAUUCCUUUUGGCUUACUAACAAGUUUGCCAUGAGACUGAAUAUAAAGAGGCUGAUGCCAGAUUUUUUCUGCUCACUCUUAAAGGUUCCAGACUUGACUUUCUCACGAACUUCGCCGCCCUAAACGUUUCACUGAUUUCAACACCAAUCGACGAACUUCGCCGCCCUAAACGUUCAUAACACUGUUUAUAACAUUGUUUAUAAGAACAGUGUGCUGACUGUUUACCCCUCGCUCAGAUGCUGCAAGAUUCCACAUUUGCCCUAAGAGUUAGGGCUGGAUAUAAAAGGCUUCUUUUUUUUUGGUGCUCGUGUCACCUUUUCUUUUCUCUUCUAAUCUCUCUCGCUCUUUCUCACUCUCUUGAAACUUCCAUAAAGAUCGAGAAAGAGCUACUGUUCAGUUUUCUUUAUUCGUCUUACAUUCGAGUGUUCCAGAGGUUUUAGAAGAUGAGAGAGAGAUCAGGUAGAGAGGGAGAGAAAGACAGAGUCCGGCUAAAUGCAGAGAAGGAUAAAGAGAGAGUUGAUCCAGAAUUGAUCCCUUGAAUUCUGAACUCUUUCCAGUUUUUACCAAAUUUCUUGAUCGAUUGAGGUUCGGCACCUCACAAGAUUUGGUGGCGGCAUGGGUUUAGGGUUUGUCAUCAGUAAGUAGAAGGGAGGUGAUUCUGGGUUUCGAGUAAUACUCUUUUUAACUCGGGUCUGUUUGUUUGUUUUAUUAAGAUCGGUGAUGGGUAAUGUUUGAGGUUUGGUAUUUUGGCAGAUUUAAGUUAAUAUAUUUUGUUUGUAUUCUAAUGUCGCUAAAUCUUCUGGGUUUCUUCUCUUUUUACAAUUAUUGUUGUAGGUUUUGGAAGUAAGGCUUUAAAUUUGAAUGACGAAAAGGAUCAAAGUGAUAUUGCAAAAGCUCUUUCUGUGUCUCCAAACAAUCAUCAUCAGGUAUUUCGUUUGUAAUUUUCUUACCUUUUAUUCCCUCUGUAUGUAGCUUCAAUUUACCAAUGUCUGAUUCAAUUGCCUUGCUUUUCGUACAGAUUGUGGAUCUCAUACAAAAUGUGGAUGUGAAUCCGAUCGUUACAAACUACUGUGAUGUGGGAAGCGUGAACACGAUAGGAGGCGGCUCCGUUAAGCGUCAAAAAACAAGUGAGAUAAAGUUGGAAUCCACCAACGACAACCUUGAAUCCACAGACUAGAUUUUAGAAUACACGAGAAGUUCUAGAAUCCACCAGGAAUUUGAGAAAACUCAAAAGUUUUAUUGAUAAGAAAGAUUCCCCUAAUAGCAAGUACACCCAUUGAAAAAAAUUCAACCUGGGUUGGUUGACACCUAGGCAAUCCAACCCAAGAGAAAAAACUUAUCUUCCACCCACAAAUGGGAUAUCUCCCUAAUUCAACCCCGGCUACAUUUUGAGGGAGCAAUCUGACCCAAGUUAGAGGAGCAAUCCAGCCCAGGUUACUUGCGCCACCUCAGCUCGACCCACAACGUGGGUGAUGUUAGUCUGGGCUACUCUCCAUCGUCUCACGCCAUCCAUUGCCGCGUGAAGCACACUAGUCUUCUUUGAUGGGUAUGAAUGCCGCACGUGAAGACCACCUUCACCUUUGUGGAGGAAACAUGAAAGAGAGUUGGGCCCCCACUAACCUCUUUGACCGUUUAUUAUGCAAAUAUGCUUUAAAUUUUUUUGAUUGAGCAAAUAAUUUUUUAAAAUUCAAUAAGAUGUAGCAAUAGGGAAAAUCUGUAAAAAGAAAUUAAAAAAAAAGAAAUUCAAAUUGUAUGAAUUCUCUAUUAAUACUUGUCAUUAUUUUGCAUUCCACAAACCAAAAAAGAAGAAGAAUUCCUUAGUUAUAGCUAAUUAUUUAUAUCCCUAGCCAAUUUAGAAUGUGCAUGUGUUCUAUGUUUAUGAGUUUUUUAUUAGAAAAUUAAAAAUAAAAGUAGACUUGACUUGUUAAAUAUUAUGAAAUAAAAAAUAAUAAUUUCAAUGUGAUAUAAUUUAUAAAAAUUAUAUCUAUCUACAACUAAAAUCAUUAUUCACACUAAAAAAAUGUUUUUUAAAAUUUAAUAAACAGUCAUUGCCAUGUGGCAACAAUCUCACAUUUUUGACAAGUGGAAAUUACUGCCUAGUCACAGUGACCCAGAGUGACCCAGGUCACUGUGUUCAAUCUAAUCCAACGGGCGAACUUGCUCUAAUACAAAGCAUGAUGAAGUUUAUAUAGGCAUCCAUACCUAAGAAUUACAAUCAUAAUCUAAAUUGAAACCUAAGAAUCCAAAUUAAAAAGAAAACAAAUAACCCUAAAUAAAAGAAUCCUAAAAAGAAAAUAAAACUAGCCUAAAAAUACUAAAUCGUGAAUCGGACAGUUAAAACGACAUAUUUUGGCUUAAAUCUGAUAGGGCUCACUAAAGUGAGUCUUGUAGAUCUCGUCGUUUCCAUUCCGGAAAUGUAUCAUGCAUCCAAAACGGAACGUUCUGGCCAAAAAUUACUCCAAAUCAGAUUUAAGAGAUUUUGCGUGACAAACCUAGAAAGUCUAAAACAACAUCUUUUUGAAUAUUCCAGCGGCUAACAACCUCAUGAUACGAGAAUUACCGAUCUUUAAAUCAUUAUUUUUGAUUAUUCGCUGCUUCCUUAUUUUUAUUUUUUUUCUGUUUAAAUUUGACACAUUCUCGUCCUACAUCAUAUUGCAUGCCAGAAUGACAAGCUAUGCCAGAUAAGCUACAAGGCCUAGCACCAUUAUAAUCAUUUGGCUUCUCAAUAUCGGUGCAUUAUCUUGGCUAAUGAGAUUUGAUCUUUACAUUAUCAAGUUGUAUGUACUUCACAAGUUCACAAAUGCAAAUGUAGCAUGUGAUUUUGAAAUCCUCUUACAUUUAGCAAAUCUUAAAGAAUGUAAUCUAAGCUCUAAAGCAUUGUGCUCAAUAUAUAGGAACAAUAUUUGUUAGAUGAGAUACAAAAACUUUACAUAAUUUUCCUUUAGUUUGGUGAAUUACAAUGCACAUAUCUAAAUAAAUUAAAUAUUUUUUUCACAAGCUCAUACCAAGUUAUGUAAAAAUCAAUAUCUUGAUAAUAAUGAAUAACAUGCUGGAAGAUUCACAAAACUCGAAUACGCUGGUAACAAAUAUUUUGUAUCGCAAUCGUAAUCACACUUUGGAAUUGCUAUACUUUUUCCUUCAGACCCGAUCUAGGGAGAAGUAUAUAUAAAAGUAGUUAGUUUCUUCUAGAUCUAGAUACAAUAUAGCAGAAAUGCAUGAAUAUAGAAACAUAAAGCUAUACAUCUAAAGGCAAUCUGAAAACAUUAAGCUUCCCAAGAAGGCAUUCCAAAAAGUUUGUAUCGUGAAUGUCUAAAAAGAAUAUUCUUUAAGGACCUAUGCCAGCAGUCAGCAGUCACAACACAAUCUUUUAUGACCUGAAAGAGAAAAUGAGAAAUCCUAAGUAAUGGAUAUUAAUGAUAGCAUAUUUUUCAUUCAACAUGUGUAUGAUCAAUAAGGUUAAUUGAAAGAUAAUUGUAUAUUGAUAUACAAUAUUGAGUAUUUUGUGGUAAUCUUACAGUAUCUUUCACUCGAUAAUAAGAUUGUGAGGUAACAGACAUUGAUCCACCUUUUCCCUUAAAGAAUUCAAUCAUUUUACAAAUGCAGGGUUUUUCUUCUCCCGAAGCCUAAAAGAAAACAACCAACACAAAGAGCUGUCAAUUUUUGGAUAAGAAAACAUAACAAAAACAUUAGACAACAAGUUAUGCCAUUGCACGUAUGAGUUUUCUUUGCGAAAAGAAAACAAAUAUAAGAGAUGUCAUGUUGAUUCUAACAGGGUUUAUAUAUGAACAAUCAUCGAUGUAUAAUUUAUAAACUUGCGUCACUAUAAUAUGUUUCGUCACCAAACCUGGUUGCUAGGUAGGUUACUUUGGAGACGUACGUAUUUGUGUUCUUGAAGGAUCGCCAUAUCGUAGAAAGGUUUUUUGUCAAAGGUCUGGGAUGCAUGUCGUGCUUGUCCACCGCACACCAGAGGUGGAACCUAUCAAUAGAACCAUUGUUGAUCGAUCGAUAGAAGAAAACUGCUCAAAGUUUAUUAGCCAAAGAGUUCAGAAGAAGUUGAAUUAGAUGUCUAGAGAGCUAGAUUAAUUUGAGUCUGCUAGCUAGGUUUCGAAACUCUUAAAUAAAGGUGUGUUCUAGGGUUUGUAUGUAUAGAAGUUUAGUUUUGGUAGGAUCCAUGAUAAUAGGACUCAUUCGAAAUUUGAAAUUUAUGUUAUUUUUUUAGAAUGUUUUGAAAUUGUUAUGAUAAAGAGAAAACUUAUGACAUGAUAAUUGGUGAUUGGUGGUAAUUGGCUGUUAAAUGAAGGAGGAAAUCAAGUGGAAGAUUUGGCCAACUACGGUAGGGGAAAUUAUUAUUUGUACCCGGAACACCACCUGUUUUUUGUUCCCCUUUAAUCUUAUUGGUCCACGUGUUUUAUCUUUAUUUCUGAUUGGUGCUGGUCCCCACAUGAAUCUGAGUUAUAUGAUUGGUCGGGUACAACACCUGGUAGUGCCACGUGAUGUUCCAGGUACAGAAAAUAAUUACUCCUAUGGUAGAAUUAUUUUAAUUAAGAUAAUAAAUUGCGAAUCAUAUAACUCUCAAAAAUAUUGAGCACGCAUAAACAUAAUUGGUAGUGGCAGUAGUAUUUAAACAAAAUUGGUAUUUUUUUCUUUUGUAAACUUCUUACACUUCCACUACCAAACCCUAUUAUAUAUACACCUUCUUCAAGCUUUCUGAUUCUGCAAUCUGCAUGAACCCCAAACUCCAAAAACCCCAGGUCUUCAUCACCUUGUCCAACUUGCUCAUCACAUAGUAGUACUCAAACUGGCAUUCUCCACUUCCCACUAGUUCCUACUUCCCAAAACGUAGGGUGACAGUGACAAACCAGCCAGCCUUGUUGAGUUUCAGUGAAGUAAACUCUUUCUUUGUUAGUUAUAGCACCGAAAACUCUUAGUGUAUCCCUCACAAGCUUUCCAAAUUCUUACUAGUGUGCGUUAUAUUCUUUGGCUUUAUUCUUCUGUCAACCCAAGCCAGAUGGCAUAACCAUACCAAACACAGCAAGCACAACCACCCUCACAAGAUUUCUUACAUUUCACAGCCUCCUUCCUCUUCACCUGGACCUGCUGCUAGCUACAGUCCUCCUGAACUUGAAGAGCCUAAGAAUCCAUACAACUCCACACCUGGUGUUUUCGAUGUUCGAUUAUUUGGGGCUGUUGGGGAUGGCCAAACAGAUGACACUCAAGCCUUUAAGAUGGCUUGGGACACAGCAUGCCAAAGUGAAUCGCCAGCAAAGAUACUUGUUCCGAACCAUCUCACAUUCAUGAUUCAUUCCACAAUAUUUACCUGUCCCUGCCUUUCAGGCCUGGUGUUACAGUUAAUAAUGUACUAAUUUUCUUUCACUUUUUGGCCAGCUCAAAGUGAGAAAAGACUAAAUGUUAGUCCGUUGGGUACAUUUGGUAAUGUGAAUUAGGUUGAUGGGGUUAUAGUACCACCUGAUGGACCAGAGUCCUGGCCAAAAAACAACAGCAGGCGCCAAUGGCUCGUUUUUUAUCGAAUCAACGAAGAUGUCGCUGCAAGGGAGUGGUGUCAUAGAUGGGAGAGGAGACAAAUAGUGGCAACUUCCCUGCAAACUCCACAUGGUAUUUUGUUUAAGUUGUUCAUAUUUGGUCUUAAACAUUUGGUGAUCUAAGAAACUGCUUACAUUGAUCAAUUUUUCACAGGGGGUAAAUGGAACCACCUUGCCCGGACCAUGUGAUAGCCCAGUUGUAAGUUUCAAAUUUUUUGUUUGAAGUAACAUCAGCUAACUAUAUUAUUGAACUUUGAUUUAAUAUGAUAUUGUAUUUAUGCAGGCCAUUAGGUUUUUCAUGAGCUCUAACUUGACAGUACAAGGUCUUAGGAUUAAGAAUAGCCCCCAAUUGCACCAGUCUCUUGCUUGUUGGAGGGUAAUCCUAGAACUUUACUCAGCGAUGAAAUAGACCACUGCUGAUAUAUCAGUCCAUGGUAUUCAUCUUAGGUCUGUAAAGCAAUUAGAAAUCUAUAACUAGCUACAAAAGGAAUUAGGAAUCUGUCAGCUGGAUUGCAAUUCUAAUUGUAAUUGUGUGAUUAUAGAGGAGAGAUGUUUUAUGUGCUCCCUUUCAUAUAUAUAGAAUCUAUGUAUUUCUUCAUGUUCUUGUCGGAGAGAUGGGUUUUUGUAGCUUGUAUUUUAGAAAAAGUAUUCUAGCUCUGCUGUAACACAUGCAUGAUUUAUAGGGAAUGUUGAAUAACUAUUUUACUUGGGAAAGUUGAAUAAACUGCAGUAAGAAUAUGUGACAACAAUGUAUAUCAACGUACUAAUAUGGGAUGCAGUCCCAUAUAUGUGAAACCAGAUAAAGAAGUAUAUGGCCUGGACCUUGCAAUUAACCUACAAAGAAUUGGAUGAUGCGAAUUUAAGGCUUCGAUCGAGCUUUAAUAUAUUUACCAUGUUAGACAACCAUGCACUGUAAAAUCAAACUAGCUACAUAACGAACUUU